rnacentral:lncRNA from 1 species
UUUAUUUUAAAACACAAACAACUAGUUCAUUGAAAUGAUAACUUGUUUAGUACACAAACAAGAUCUUACUUAAUACAUAGAAAUAAGAUCUUACGGAACAUAGAGAUUAAAAACAUAGGAACAACAUGAAAAGUUUUUAAAAUGACAUAGAUAUUGAUUAACAAAGAUAUGAACUAGUUUCGGGUAUUUUUUAACCAUCCAUCAAGGUAAACUUGUUUGGAGUCAGGGGUGGAUUUUGGUCUAAUAUCUUUCAACCAUCCAUCAAGGUAAACUUGGUUGGAAUCAGAGGAGGAUUUUGCUUUUUCAGCUCGAGUGUCUUUCAACCAACCAUCAAGAUAAACUUGUUUGGGAUCAGAGGUGGAUUUUGUUUUCUCUGCUCGAGUAUCUUUCAACCACCCAUCAAGGUAUACUUGGUUGGAGUCAGGGGUAGAUUUUGUUCUCUCGUUUCGAAUAUCUUUCAACCAUCCAUCAAGGUAAACUUGGUUGGAAUCAGAGGAGGAUUUUUCUUUUUCAGCUCGAGUGUCUUUCAACCAACCAUCAAGAUAAACUUGUUUGGGAUCAGAGGUGGAUUUUGUUUUCUCUACUCGGGUAUCUUUCAACCACCCAUCAAGGUAUACUUGGUUGGAGUUAGGGGUAGAUUUUGUUCUCUCGUUUCGAAUAUCUUUCAACCAUCCAUCAAGGUAAACUUGGUUGGAGUCAGAGGAGGAUUUUUCUUUUUCAGCUCGAGUGUCUUUCAACCAACCAUCAAGAUAAACUUGUUUGGGAUCAGAGGUGGAUUUUGUUUUCUCUACUCGGGUAUCUUUCAACCACCCAUCAAGGUAUACUUGGUUGGAGUCAGGGGUAGAUUUUGUUCUCUCGUUUCGAAUAUCUUUCAACCAUCCAUCAAGGUAAACUUGGUUGGAGUCAGAGGAGGAUUUUUCUUUUUCAGCUCGAGUGUCUUUCAACCAACCAUCAAGAUAAACUUGUUUGGGAUCAGAGGUGGAUUUUGUUUUCUCUACUCGGGUAUCUUUCAACCACCCAUCAAGGUAUACUUGGUUGGAGUCAGGGGUAGAUUUUGUUCUCUCGUUUCGAAUAUCUUUCAACCAUCCAUCAAGGUAAACUUGGUUGGAGUCAGACAUGGUUUUUGUUUGCUUUGCUCGAGUAUUUUUCAACCAUCCAUCAAGGUAAACUUGGUUGGAGUCAGAUGUAGAUUUUUCUUUCUCAGCUCGGGGAUCUUUUAACCAUCCAUCAAGAUAAACUUGUUUGGAGUCAGAGGUGGAUUUUGUUUUCUCUGCUCGGGUAUCUUUCAACCAUCCAUCAAGGUAAACUUGAUUGGAGUUAGGCAUGGACUUUUCUUUCUCGACUCUGAUAUUUUUCAACCAUCCAUCAAGAUAAACUUGGUUUGAGUCACUUGCAGGUUUUGUUUUCUCAACUCGGGUAUUUUUCAACCAUCCAUCAAGGUAAACUUGGUUGGAUUCAGAGGUGGAUUUUGCGUUCUCUGCUCUGGUAUCUUUCAACCAUCCAUCAAGGUAAACUUGGUUGGAGUUAGGUGUUGACUUUUCUUUCUCAGCUCUGAUAUCUUUCAACCAUCCAUCAAGAUAAACUUGGUUGGUGUCACCGGUAGAUUUUGCUUUCUCAGCUCGAUUAUCUUUCAACCAUCCAUCAAGGUAAACUUGGUUGGAUUCAGAGGUGUCUUUUGCUUUCUUUGCUCUGGAAUCUUUUAACCAUCCAUCAAGAUAAACUUGAUCAGAGUUCUGGGAGGAUUUGGUUUUCUCUGCUCGUGUAUCUUUCAACCAUCCAUCAAGAUAAACUUGGUUAGAGUUAGCAAUGUGUUUUUGACUCUUCAAUGGAUUUUUGAGCCAACCAUCAAGGUAAGGUUGAUCAACUUGUAUUUCUUGUACAUUCUCUUGCUGAAGUUUGAUAUAUCGGGCAAAGCUUCCUUGUCCAUUCUAUAAUACAAUUGAAUAAAUGGAUAUUAGUGAGUUAUUUUUGGAUGGUAUAUAUGAUUACAAAAACAAAAUAAUGUGUUUUAUAAGACACAUUAUGUUGCACAGGUGAGACACAUUCAUUAUAUAUUUCAGAUGGAUACAAAAUGUGAAAUAAAAAUGAAAGAAAAACAAUUUUUAAAAUUUCAUUGCGGCAUAGAAAACAUUAUUUUAUCAAAUCAAAUAGAACAACUUGAUUGUAAGUGAAUGAUGAAAUCAAAUCAAAUAAAGAUGAGAAAUGAUAGAUUGUGAUAAAUAAAUGAUGAAAAAUAUAAGUGUAAAAGAUACAAGAAUGGAUGCAAAGUUAGUAACUUACGAUCAACAAGAGCAUGAUAAAAGGGAGGAGAAACAAAACAUCUUUGUGUGUCAUUUCUUUAAUGUUAUGAUUUUGUGGGAAAAUUGUUUUAAUGUGAAAAGAUGUAUUGAAAUGGAAGUGAAUUGGGCUAUUUAUAAGUGAAUGAAAAGAAAAACUACAUUAAGGAUAUUAAGGACAUUGCGACUUUGGUUGGCAAGAUUAUUUUUUAAAUAUUUAAUUUAUUUUAUUUUUUAAAUGUUUAGUUUAAUUUAUAAGUUUAUAUGUCUAAGAAAGAUCAAUUUACUUUUUCCAAGAUCUAUUAGGUGUGUUGUUUUGAGUUAUAAAUAAAAAAUUCAAAAAAUUGUUUGUUUGGUAUCAUUUUUUUAAUUAGAAGCUCCUAACUAAAUUCUCCAGGUUUAAAAUAAAUAAAUUUUAGAAAAGCUACUGCAAUUAGUUUUUUAUUUUAAAAUUAAAAAUGAUUCUCUUAAAAACUUUAAUAAAAACCUAUUAAAAUGAUAAAGGUGAUUUUUUAAAUGUUAAACAAACAUUUAUUUUGAUAAGUUAUUUCAAAUAAUUUAAAAUUUCAUAAAUUUAUUUUAAUUUAUAAUUGAAGUGGUAAUUAUCAUAAUCUCGUCUCUUGAGUUCUAAUAUUUGAGCUAAUAGUAUAAAUAUUUUUUAGUUGAAUUAAAAUUUGCAUUAAUGAUAGUUUCAAUUUUACAAUUAAUUAAACUAAUUUAGUAGUUAAUUUUAUUAAGUGUAAUAAAUGCAAUGAAUUAAUUUAACUACAUCCCCUUUAAUUCGAGGUGGGUGUAGGUAUUCCGAGACAUUCAAAUUUGAAGACUAAUAUAUAGAUUAAAAUUAUUUAUUAAUUUAUUUAAUGGUAAUUACAUAUUACAAAAUUUCAUUUUUGGAAAAAAGUUAUUAUUUUAAUAUUUUAUAUUUUUUAAUAGUUAUUAUUUUAUAAAAUUAAUUAUAAUGAGUAUAAUAUUUUAAUUUUAUUAUCAUCAAAUAUACACGACAUCAAAAUUACCAAACAUGAAAUCUAAAUAUAGGGAUCCAAUUAAUUGAAUUGGAAUUUACAUUGUGAAUCAUGAGUCUUCUGCCACCAAUUCCUAGGGACUCACUACCUAGCAAACAAUGAAUACAAAAUAGUAUCACAAGAAACACUAAAAUACUGUGUUGACCCUUGCAUGUUUAAGAUGUUCACAUGUAGCUAGGGUUUGGGUGGUUAUGUAGUUAUGCUUACCUAAUAGUAAGACUGUGUUGACCUUUGCAUGUUUAAGAUGUUCACAUGUAGCUAGGGUUUGCGUGGUUAUGUAGUUAUGCUUAUCUAAUAGUAAGUUAAAAAAUUGUAGUUAUCUAAAAAGUAAUAAAUUAUUAUAUUGACCGGUCUAAAGAGAAGAUAGAUAAGUUANGUAGUUAAUUUUAUUAAGUGUAAUAAAUGCAAUGAAUUAAUUUAACUACAUCCCCUUUAAUUCGAGGUGGGUGUAGGUAUUCAGAGACAUUCAAAUUUGAAGACUAAUAUAUAGAUUAAAAUUAUUUAUGUUCGUCUUAUAUAUUUUUUUUUUAUAUUUUAAUAUAAAUAUUUAUUAAUUUAUUUAAUGGUAAUUAUAUAUUACAAAAUUUCAUUUUUGGAAAAAAGUUAUUAUUUUAAUAUUUUAUAUUUUUUAAUAAUUAUUAUUUUAUAAAAUUAAUUAUAAUGAGUAUAAUAUUUUAAUUUUAUUAUCAUCAAAUAUACACGACAUCAAAAUUACCAAACAUGAAAUCUAAAUAUAGGGAUCCAAUUAAUUGAAUUGGAAUUUACAUUGUGAAUCAUGAGUCUUCUGCCACCAAUUCCUAGGGACUCACUACCUAGCAAACAAUGAAUACAAAAUAGUAUCACAAGAAACACUAAAAUACUGUGUUGACCCUUGCAUGUUUAAGAUGUUCACAUGUAGCUAGGGUUUGGGUGGUUAUGUAGUUAUGCUUACCUAAUAGUAAGACUGUGUUGACCUUUGCAUGUUUAAGAUGUUCACAUGUAGCUAGGGUUUGCGUGGUUAUGUAGUUAUGCUUAUCUAAUAGUAAGUUAAAAAAUUGUAGUUAUCUAAAAAGUAAUAAAUUAUUAUAUUGACCGGUCUAAAGAGAAGAUAGAUAAGUUAUUAUAAUCAAAUAUUAUCUAAAAAACAAUAAAUUAUAAGGAAUAUAGUUUCAUUAUUUUUAUGUUUAUUUAAAAAAUAUAAAUAUUUUUUAAAUUAAUGAUAAAUAAUUGAUUUUAAAUGUGAUGAUGGUUUAUAUCUUUACAUAAGAAACUAAAUGAUAAAAUGUGAAUAUUCAUAUCUAACAUUAAAUAUUUAUCUAAAUAUGUAGGCCAGCCUCAUAUUUAUUGUAAAUUUUUUAACAAAGCUUUUAAUAAUGUAAAUUAGAAUAAUGUAGGCCAGCCUCUCUAUUUAUAUAAAAAAAAUAUUUUUUAAAAUAUUUUUAUAAUAAAAAUAUAAAAUUUGUCACAAAACAAUUUUAUUAUUUUAUUAACUAUAAAAAUAUAGGUUAUAAAUCACAUAUUUCAUUUAUAAUUCAUUAACCAGUAAAAUACGUAAUAUUAAUCAAAUUAUAAUAUUAAAAUAUGAAAUACACAAUUUGCUUAAUUAUUAAUUAUUAUAUUUUAUAUUUUAAUGUCAAAAUUUAUUGAUAUUAUUUAUUUUAUUAAUUGAAUACAGUAAUAAAUAAAAUAUAUGGUUAAUCACCUAUAUUUUUGUGAUUAAUAUAAUAAUAAAAUUAAUUAAUAACAAACUUUAUAUUUAUAUUAUAAAAAUAAUUAUAAAAAUAAAUCAAAAACGAGUUUAAGACAACAUAGGAAAAAGGGAGACUCGGAUAUCGUAUCUCAAAGACGGUUGAAUUAUUAUUAAUAUACUGGAAUCGAAUUGGGGGUUUAUAUUUGAUUCAUAAUAAAUGAUUAUGAAAAGUGAUUAUAAAAUAAGUUGAUUUAUUGAUUCGGUUCCUACCUACCAUUGAUUAUUAUAGCGCGAAUGAAAGUGUAAGAAUUAUGUUUCUUAUUUGCUGAAUUAAGCAAUCAGUUAAGAUUAAAGCGAAUUAACGGAUUAAGCAUACGUUAACACGCAAUCAAAAUUAGGGAACAAUAAAUAUUCAAAUCAAACAAAAUUACUAAGUUUGAAAUUGUACCUCAUUCAGGUCUUGGUUCAAGCAUCCCUAUGUGCAUCACAUUUAACUUUGCAUAGGCCAUGAACUCAAGUCUUUUGGUAUGGAAAAAUGCAUAGAUCCAUAUGCCCGAUUCACUUCAUUCAUAUGAUGCAGAUGAUCAAGGAUGAUUGAUCCAUUUAAGACUUAGUUCCAUUGGUUCAUUCUUUGUUGCUUAAGAAAUCUCAGGGUUUUACUAAGAAGAAAGAGGUCGAGACCAGUGUCGUGAUAGUAAAUAUCUACCCUCAAGUUCAAGCACCUAUGACUCAUGUGUCAUACUACCCUUAUCUGUACAUUGUCGCUGCUCAAUAUCAGCAACCUGCAUACCAACCGCAAUAUCAACAGCCUCCAUGGGCUCCAAUUUCUCAGAAUCAACAAAAUAGCAGAAACCAGAGUCUAGGUCAGGGCAGACGUUAUGAUAGAAAACGUCCUCAGCCUGACCAUAUCCCUGUAUCAUACACUCAGUUGUUGUCGUAUCUUGUCCAGUAAGGAGCAAUUGCGCCAAAAGAGAUUCCGCCUGCAACUCCUCCCUAAAAUCACAAGCAUAAUCCUAAUGUGUCUUGUGCAUUUCAUGUCGGAUACAUAGGGCAUUCUACAGAGGAUUGUUUGGUCCUCAAGACCAUAGUACAAGAGUUAAUUGAUCAUAAGGUUUUGUAAUUCUCUGAGGCAGGACCCAAUGUCAUAACCAACCUAUUGCCAGACCACUGUGGACAGAUAGUGAAUGCAGUUUAUGGCGAAGAUUCCUCAGAUUCAGUUGAUUCUUCAGAGAAGUACUGAUGCUAGCAAUAUCAUAUUGAUUCAAUCAUGUAUCAUUUGUAAUCUUUUCUUGUUUGUUAAUUGUUGUUCAUUUGUAAAACUUGUCUGGUUUUUCAGAUGAUAAUAAUAAUGAAAUAAGCGUGCAUGUUUUGCUUAAAUCCAUUCGUGUUCACUCAUAUUUUAUUUUAUCAGUAUCAAAUUGUUUGUCGAACAAAAUCAAAAGAGAAUGAUGAAAUUAAAAAUAUGCAAGAUCGCUGUUUGUAUGCUUUUGAAUAAGAUCAUGUUGAUGAUGCAAGGCAUUGUUCAAUCCCUAAACACCGGAGAUAUAAGGAAGAUAAUCCCUAGUCAACCCAUUUGGAUGUUGUAGUAGGAGUUUCUUUCUUUAACACAUAAAAUCCUCAUGCUUAACUAGGGGCAGGGUAUUCUUCAUUUAGUUUAGACUUGCAUUCAAAUUUCAGAAGGAGAAUAUCUCAUCCAGUGAUCAAUCAUAUCAUAUCCCUCUCAAGAGGAUGGAAUCACAAAUCCAGGAUGGUUAUCCCUUACCAUUCAAAAGGAGUGAGAUAGUCACGACCCAUGCAACAAAUCAAGAAAGUCGUGUCACACGGUUUUCUCUAGUACAAAAAGAAAAGAUGAAAAAAUUAAAAGUCCGCUAAGUCAAAAACUUGAAAACAAGAUUGACUUAUAUGUGUGUGUUUGGGGUGAGUCUGGAGAUGCACCUUCGAACUUCGAAAUGUGUGAGCUUUUUUGUAUUUUUCAUCUCAUGCCCUAGUAAUAUAUAUGGUGCAUUAAAAAAUAUCCAUAAAUUAAGGGAUUUGGUUAACACACUCUUAGGAUUGUUUUUCGACCCUUGUGAAAAAUCAAAACUACCUUUAGAAUUCAGAAAUAAAUCUUUGGACGCACCUCAAACACACACACAAUCAAUUCAUUUUUGAGUCAUGAAGUUAAUUAGGAAAUGCAUCUCCUUAAAUAUUAACGGGGGUGUAUUUUCCAAACCUAUUGAACCACACAGAAUUGCAUAAACCAAACAGAUGCAGAAAUAAAGAUAAAUCACAUUGAUAACAUGAAAAAUGAAAUAUUACAUAGAUAAUCGUUAACAUAAAUCGAACUUUGCAUUUGAACAUCAAGAUGGACGUUUCAACAUAUUUAUAAUAUCUUUUAUCGAUCUCGCAAUCAUCGCAUCCAACUUGAUCAAACAUUUUAUUUCGUAACGGUUAAAUGUAUUUCACAUAACUCUUAAAUCCGCAUCCGUCUUCAGCUUAAAGUUGUUGAACUGAAUCUACCAUUCAUUAUCAACCGAGAGUGAACCUUACUUGAGUUUCACAAUUCUUCAAUGAACUUAAAUGCAAUUGAGGACUCCGCGUAGUUGAGUCAUAUUUCAUGGAGACUCAUAAUGCGUCCAAAAAUGCAUUUCCAAAAUUUUAGUGGCAUUUUUAAAUUUUUAUAGGAUGGUUUUCCAGCACUUAUGUAGAGAUAAACAAUUUCCUUAUUAAAGGUCUCUGAGAGGAAUUGAAAUAAAUAUAUUUAAAAAAUUAGUAUUAUACUUAUUUAAGGAAUAAAGUUUUCUAACCAAAAAUUUUUCCCUAAUUUUUUUGUGCCUAAUUUUUUUGCUAACAAAAUAGAGACCUGAUUAUAUUUCACUAAUUUUCAUUCAUCUCUCAAUUAAUAUCUCUCAUAACCCUCAUUAACUCUCAAUUAAUGUAAUUCAUAUCAAUUAAUUGUUUUUUGAAAAUUUUGUAUCCGGCUUCGGACCAACUAGUUUAGUGAAUUGCUAAUUUCAUCUUUAAGUGUUGGAAAAAUACCUUAUAAAAAUUUGAAAAUACUCUUCUGAUUCCAAAAAUGCAUCUUCGGACGCAACUUGCACCUCACCAAAACACGCUUCAACUUGUUGAUGUUUUUUAUGUAAUUCAAGUGGUGUAACUGGUUACCUCAUGUGGUGUAAACGGUUACCACUAAAGUUGAUUUAAUUCAAUAUCAGAUGUAACCGAUUAUCCACUUUUGUGUAACGAUUACAAGCUUAAUAUUUUGAUUUUUUCUGAUAUUUUACUUGGUCAAUUCAGUUCCCAAUUGUGUUGUAUCUCUUGUAUAAGUGUUUAGAAUGUACACUCAUCUAAGGUUAAUGCAAUAAUAAUCUCUCAUCCUCAAUUCUCCUCUUUCACACUCCACAUCCAAAGUAUCUCCACCAUUAUUCACCAAACUUGUGGUGUCCUGUUCCAACAUUUGACAUCAAGAGUCUGGUUCAGAUCCACAAACACUUAGUGUGCAACAUGAAUUAUGUUUCCAAUGAAAAAAUCCCUCCAAACCUACCUAUCCUUGAUGCGAAGAAUUAUGAUAAAUGGUACAAGGAAAUGAAGAUGUUGUUUGGCUACCAAGAUGUUCUUACAGUAACUCUUAAGAGAAAAUAGUUGUCCCUGACCUACUUUGAGUCUCCGUAGGGAAAUUGGACUGGCAAAGAGGGUAGAAGGAGGAAACUACUCAAGUGAGCUUGAAGCAACAAAGGCAGUGAGUUUAGUUCCCACGCGGGGAAGAACGUUUAUAACAAGAGCCAGGAAGAUAAAUUAUUUUAUAAUACCUUCUCAAAAGUAAAAUGAGCUAUGAGAAAGAGCAAGAAUCUCAAGCGAUUGGCUGAACUUAACCUAGCUCGAGCUACAUGGCGGUUGAUCAAGGGAUACCGGAAAGAGGCAAACAACAGAACCUCCGGGUUUGAAGCUUUUCAUGUCGGGGCGAGGUCAAUCAAGGGUUUUGGGUCAGUGAAAGCUCGAGUGCCCCCUUCAAAAGUAAGGUGUCGGGAAUGCAACCAGUGAGGUGACCCGUUCCGUUAGGGCGGAUGAAAGAAGUUAUCCUGAAGCAGCGUCAAAGGCCUCUGUAGGCCCUUCAACAGGAUUUUUUGUCGUGUAGCAUUCUGUUUUGGCUACUCACGAAACUCUUUAUCCUUAAUAGGAAGAACUCCCUUUAGAGGAAGGAUACAAAGACCAAGCCUGUCUUUCUCUCUUAAAAAGGGCAUAUGGGGCAGGGCAGAAAGACUAUUUUAGGGGACUAAUCUGCUAAUGAAUGAAGGAAGGAGAAGGCCUUAAUUGUCUAUCCAAAGGUCCGCCUUGGGUGGAUUUAGGCGAAUCAAGUGGGUGGGAAUGAUCCGAGCCCCCUAUGUAAAUUUCAGUAAGGUAACUAAGGUUUACAAUAAUUCAUUUCAGUAGUGCGUUACCUUGCAGCUCUAUCUAUCGGGUAGUCAGUCUCUUGGUCAAAAGCCGGUACCUAAUUCCCCUGCUGGUGGGCCGAUCCUCGUCUAGCGGUGGGAACCGGCUGGUAUGGAUCAAUUGCUUGCCCUGUCUCUCUUCUGUUCAACCAUCGAGAAUCCGCAGUUAUCUUUGCUCAUUGGGUGGGCGAAGGAAUCCUUUCUAUUGAAUAAGGGCUUUGAGAAGCAGGCCAUUCCGUUCCAGUUAGCACCGUAUCCCGCUUUUCCGAUAGCAAAGGGCCUUCUAAUUAGCGUGCUUUGCUUAACCCGGCAAGAUCCGAGAUCAGACCUAGUCCUGCUGACCCGCUACCCUUGAAAACAUACUUUUUGCCACCUUACGACUGGUGUGAAGGAACUUAUUGCACAUAUUUAACAUGGGGAAGGAAAGAGGAGGGAAUAAAGCAUAUUUUAGGCAUCGANUUAAGAAAUGUCCAUGAAUUAAGGGAUUUGGUUAACGCACUCUUAGGGUUGUUUUUCGACCCUCGUGAAAAAUCAAAACUACCUUUAGAAUUCAGAAAUAAAUCUUUGGACGCACCUCAAACACACAUAAUCUGUUCAUUUUGUAGUCAUGAAUUUAAUUCGGAAAUGCAUCUCCUUAAAUAUUUAUGGAGGUGUAUUUUCAGAACCUACUUAACCACAAAGAAUUUCAUAAACCAAACAGAUGCAGAAACAAAGAUAAAUCACAUUGAUAACAUUGAAAAAUGAAAUAUUACAUAGAUAAUCGUUAACAUAAAUCGAACAUUAUAUUUGAACAUUAAGAUGGACGUUUCAACAUCUUUAUAAUAUCUUUUAUCGAUCUCGCAAUCAUCGCAUCCAACUUGAUCAAAUAUUUUGUUUCGUAACGGUUAAAUGUAUUUCAGAUAACUCUUAAAUCUGCAUUCGUCUUCAGCUUAAAAUUGUUGAAAUGAAUCUUCGAUUCAUUAUCAAUCGAGAGUGAACCGUACUUGAGUUUUGUAAGAACAAAAAUAGUUCUACAAUAGAUUCCAUGAUUUUGAUGAUAACAAAGGAUGAAACCAAAAAUGGCACCCUAACGAAAAGUUUCUAAGUGUGCAGGGUUCUAAAGAAAGAAGAAAUAAAUCUGAUGAUGUCAUCAGAUGCAAAACAAGAUCAGAUGUAAAAUCUCAAGUAUCAGAAGCAUCUAAAGAGGAAUCUCAUUCAAGAAGCUCUGACUCUGGACAAAACUACAAAGUAUCAGAAGCAUCUGAACAUGAAGUAAAGUCUAGAAGCUCUGACUCUGAACAAAUGCCUUCUGUAAAUUCUGAAGUUAUCAGCGCCAUCUGAACUUUCAAGAGAUAACAUCAGAAGCCAGUUUCUCCAGAUACACAAAGACUCUAAUCAGAAUUGUUAAUCAUGAUGAAGUAACGUUUAAGCCAAGUUAAAGUUCUGCAAAUGGAUUUCCUCAAUUAGAAAGAGACGUUAAUCUCCACUUCCAAGAGAGAAGAUACUAAUUGUGGUAAGUAGUCACUUCUAAGAGAAAAAGUCUACUGCAGAAGCUAUUAAUGGAAUGGCGUAACUACAUCUCAAUAUCCAACAGAUUCAACGCUACUUCAACUCUACUUCAACUCCUAUAAAUAGAGAAGAAAUCUCAUUCAGUAAGAAAGAAAUCACUAGCCAAAACUAUACUGAAAUUAUAUCACGCUCAAGAAAAACAUCUUUGUUCUUCAAAGAUUUUCACUAAGCUUUUGCUUAUCAAGUGAAAAAUUUGUUCUUAAGUUUGUAAUAUUUGCUUUCUUAGAAGCACUCUAGAUUACACAUCUUGUAUCUAAUUUUUAUUUGAUUUCCUCAAGUGACUCUUUGUAGUCUGUAGACUUGAGAGGACUAAGAGAUUUUCUUCUCUCUUAGGGGUUGUUUGUAAUCUUUCAAGAUUAGUGGAUUAAGUCCUUGUUGAAGGCGAAAUCACCUUGGCCGGGUGGACUGGAGUAGCUUUGUGUUAUAAGCGAACCAGUAUAAAAUCAUUGUGUGAUUUUCUUUUGCAAAAGCGCUUAUUUUUCAAACAAUUCAAACCCCCCCUUUCUUGUUUUUCUCACCUUCAAUUGGUAUCAGAGCUCCGGCUCUGUUAUUGAUUUUCAAAUCAAACACUUAACCGUGUAGAGAGAUCCAGUGCGAGAAAAACAAAUGGCCCACUCAAAUGAGAAAGAUUCUUACAAUGCCAAGCCUCCUGUUUUUGAUGGAGAAAAGUUUGAUUACUGGAAAGAUAGAAUCGAAAGUUUCUUUCUGGGUUAUGAUGCUGACCUCUGGGACAUUGUCACAGAUGGAUACAAACCUCCAACCUUAAAUGGAGCUGAAGUUCCCAGAAGCAAAAUGUCAGAAGAUCAGAAACGUGAGUUCAAAAAUCAUCACAAGGCCAGAACAAUACUUCUAAAUGCUAUAUCAUACAACGAAUACGAAAAGAUCACCAACAGAGAGACGGCUAAAGAUAUACUUGACUCUCUGAAGAUGACCCAUGAAGGAAACUCCCAAGUCAAGGAGACGAAGGCUCUGGCGUUGAUCCAGAAAUAUGAAGCCUUCAAGAUGGAAGAUGACGAAGCUAUAGAAGCUAUGUUUUCCAGAUUCCAAACUCUUAUUGCAGGUCUUAAAGUGCUAGACAAAGGAUACACGACUGCAGAUCAUGUUAAGAAGAUUGUCAGAAGUCUGCCAAAGAAAUGGAGACCUAUGGUUACUGCUCUGAAGUUAUCAAAGGAUCUGAACAGUAUCAGCCUUGAAGAACUUGUUAGUUCUCUCAGAAGCCAUGAGAUAGAACUAGAGGAGGAUGAGCCUCAGAAAAGGAACAAGUCAGUGGCGCUGAAGUCCAGACCUGAAAGACGGAAGUCAGACAGAACCAAAGCUCUCCAGGCAGAAACUGCAGAUACUGACGACUCUGAACCUGAAGACUCUGAUGAUGAAGAAGAACUGUCCUUACUAACCAGAAGAGUUAAGCAACUCUGGAAAAGAAGGAACAACAACAACUUCAGAAGAUCAAGACCCAGAGGGGAUAGAUCAGAGUCAACUUCAAAAGGUAAACCUAAUAAAGAUAUUACCUGUUUUGAAUGUAAAGAAACAGGUCAUUAUAGAAAUGAAUGCCCCAAGCUGAAGAAAGAUAACUCUAAGAAAGAAAGCUUCAAGAAAAAUGCCUUCAGAACAAAGAAGGGAUUAAUGGCCACCUGGGACGAUAGUGAAUCAGGAUCAUCAGAAUCUGACUCUGAUGAACAAGCCAACGUAGCAUUUAUGGCUACCACAUCCAGCAGCUCAGAUGAAGAAUCUGAAGAGGUAUUUUCUGAACUUUCUAGAUCUGACUUAGAAUCAUGUUUAUCAGAAACUCUUACCUCUCUUCAGAAAUUAAAACAAAAAGUUAAAAGCAUUAAAGGCCUUCUUAAAGCAAAAUCUGAAGAAUGUAGUGAACUUGAGACAACAAUUCUAGCACAUGAAGAUACAAUCAAAUCUUUAACGUUAGAAAGAGAUGGAGCUAAAACAAAAAGCUUAAAAUUAGAAGAAGCGUUGUCUCAAGCACCACAAACUUCAAAUGAAAUUAUUUAUAAAUAUGAAGAAGCCUUUCAGAAGUUUCUGAAGAGUGGAAUAGAUAGGAGUAUUAUGGCAUCCAUGAUUUAUGGAGUAAGUCAGAAUAAUAAAAGGGGAAUUGGGUAUGAUUCUGAUUCUGAUAAAACUUCUACCAGUAACCAAAUUAAAUCACCUUUUUCAUACCACUAUACACACACACAAGAACACAAAUUUAAAAAUGCUAGAAGACCCAAAGUUGUAAGAAACUCUGGGAAAACUAAUCUGAAAGGACCCAAGAGAUUCUGGGUACCGAAAGAUAAGAUUAUCUAUGUUGCAGAUAUCCUAUGCAGCAAAGUUCAGACACCAGUCAUGGUACCUGGACUCUGGAUGCUCGCGACAUAUGACGGGAAGAAAGUCUAUGUUCCAAAGCCUGGAACUUAAAGACGCUGGCUUUGUAGGCUUCGGAGGAGAUCAGAAAGGAAGGAUCAGAGGCUCCGGAACUAUUGGUAAUGGUACUCUUCCCUCUAUAUCUGAUGUUCUUUAUGUAGAAGGAUUAAUGCAUAACUUGUUAUCCAUAAGUCAAUUAAGUGAUAACGGUUAUGAUGUAAUCUUUAAUCAAAAAACGUGUAAAGCCAUUAAUCAGAACGAUGGCUCUGUCCUUUUCACAGGCAAGAGGAAAAACAACAUUUAUAAAAUAAAUCUUUCUGAUUUAAAAGAUCAAAAUGUUAAAUGUUUAAUGUCAGUUCACGAAGAGCAAUGGGUAUGGCAUAGACGCUUAGGCCACAUUAGCAUGAGAAAACUUUCUCAGCUAACUAAACUUGAGUUAGUCAGAGGCUUACCUAAACUGAAGUUUUCUUCAGAUGCUCUGUGUGAAGCUUGUCAGAAAGGAAAGUUUUCAAAAACAUCUUUUAAAAAGAAAAAUGUUGUUUCUACCUCCAAGCCUCUGGAGCUUCUUCACAUUGACUUAUUUGGUCCUGUGAAAACAGCAUCAGUCAAUGGAAAGAAGUAUGGACUAGUAAUCGUUGAUGAUUACAGCCGCUGGACAUGGGUAAAAUUCCUAAAGCACAAGAGUGAGUCUCACUCUGUAUUCACCAGUUUCUGUUCUAAAGUGCAAAAAGAAUUUGACUCUAAAAUUGUUAGAGUCAGAAGUGAUCAUGGUGGAGAAUUUGAAAAUAAAGAUUUUGAAGAAUUAUUUGAUUCUAAUGGAAUAUCCCAUGAUUUCUCCUGCCCUAGAACUCCACAACAAAAUGGAGUUGUAGAGAGGAAGAAUAGGACACUCCAAGAAAUGGCCAGAACCAUGAUCAAUGAAACAAAUGUAGCAAAGCACUUUUGGGCAGAAGCUGUAAAUACAGCGUGUUACAUUCAGAAUAGAAUCUCUAUUAGACCUAUUCUGGAUAAGACUCCCUAUGAACUGUGUAAGGGAAGAAAACCCAACAUUUCAUAUUUUCAUCCUUUUGGAUGCAUUUGCUUUAUAUUAAAUACUAAAGAACAUCUGAACAAGUUUGAUUCCAAAGCACAGAAAGGUAUUAUGUUAGGAUACUCAGAACGCUCUAAAGGCUACAGAGUAUACAACACAGAAACCAAAAUUGUGGAGGAAUCAAUUCAUGUUAGAUUUGAUGAUAAGCUUGACCCUGAAAAGUCAAAGCUAGUUGAAAAGUUUGCAGAUUUAGAGAUCACUCUGGUAGAAUCUGAGAAAACUCCAGAAGCAACUGUCACUCCAGACUCUGAAGAAAUUAAAUCUCCAGAAAUUCCAAGGAAAGUCAAGAGUCGUAGCAACGUAUCUGAAGAUUUGAUUUUGGGAAACAAAGAUGAACCUGUUAGAACCAGAUCUACCUUCAGAACUUCUGAAGAUAUUCCUCUGGGACUAGUGUCUCUGAUUGAGCCUACGUCCUGUGAUGAAGCUCUUCAAGAUAACGAUUGGGUGGCAGCUAUGCAAGAAGAGUUAGAUCAAUUCUCCAAGAAUGAUGUCUGGGAUCUCGUUCCUAAACCCAGAGGCACUCAUGUCAUUGGAACCAGAUGGGUUUUCAGAAACAAACUGAACGAGAAAGGAGAAGUUGUCAGAAACAAAGCACGACUGGUAGCUCAAGGUUAUAGUCAACAAGAAGGUAUUGAUUAUAAUGAAACUUUUGCUCCAGUCGCAAGGUUAGAAUCUAUUCGUCUUCUUGUAUCUUUUGCUAUUAAUCACUCUAUCAAAUUAUACCAAAUGGAUGUCAAGAGUGCAUUUCUUAAUGGUUAUAUUUCAGAAGAAGUGUAUGUCAAUCAACCUCCAGGUUUUGAAAAUUCAAACUUUCCAGAACAUGUUUUCAAACUUAAGAAAUCCUUAUAUGGACUUAAACAAGCUCCCAGAGCUUGGUAUGAACGCUUAAGUAAUUUUCUUCUGGAACAAAAUUUUAUCAGAGGGAAAGUUGAUUCUACACUCUUCUGUAAAAAUCAUAAAAAUGAUCUCAUGAUAUGCCAAAUUUAUGUUGAUGACAUUAUUUUUGGUUCUGCUAAUAUCUCUGUUUGCCAAGAAUUUUCUAAGUUAAUGCAGGCAGAAUUUGAAAUGAGUCUAAUGCAAGAACUAAAGUUCUUUCUGGGAAUUCAAAUUAAUCAAACUCCAGAAGUCACGUACAUUCAUCAAAGCAAGUACAUUAAAGACGUUCUGAAGAAGUUUGAUAUGUCUGAAUGCAACUCUGCAAAGACUCCUAUGCACCCAACUUGCAUUCUGGAAAAGGAAGAGGUAAGCAACAAGGUUUGUCAGAAGCUCUAUCGAGGUAUGAUAGGCUCUCUUCUCUAUCUGACUGCUACUCGUCCUGAUAUUCUCUUUAGCGUCUGUCUUUGUGCCAGAUUCCAAUCAGAUCCUAGAGAAUCUCAUUUAACAGCUGUUAAGAGAAUUCUUAAGUAUCUGAAAGGAACUCCUAACCUGGGCCUGAUGUAUGAGAAAACAUCAGAGUAUAGGCUUUCUGGUUAUUGUGAUGCAGAUUAUGCAGGAGAUAGAAUAGAACGAAAAAGCACAUCUGGAAAUUGCCAGCUUCUGGGAAACAAUCUAAUCUCCUGGGCUAGCAAAAGACAGUCAACUAUCGCUCUAUCAACUGCAGAAGCAGAAUAUAUCUCAGCAUCACUGUGCACAACUCAGAUGCUCUGGAUGAAACAUCAGCUAGAAGAUCUUCAAAUCUUUGAGAGUAACAUUCCUAUCCUUUGUGAUAAUACUGCUGCUAUUUGUUUGAGUAAGAAUCCUAUUUUACAUUCCAGAGCCAAACACAUAGAAAUUAAACAUCAUUUUAUUAGAGACUAUGUUCAGAAAGGAAUAGUAACGCUGAAGUUCAUUGAUACAGAACAUCAAUGGGCAGAUAUCUUUACUAAGCCUCUAGCUGAAGAUAGAUUUCUUUUCAUCUUAGAAAAUCUGAACAUUAAAAAUUGUCCUGAGUAAAAUUUGGCUCUGAACAUGUAAAAUGAGACUCUGAUAAAAACAAAUACACUUCUGCCUCUGACUCUGAUACUUCUACCAAGUUAAGAAGAUAUCUGAGUUAGAAAUCUUCAGAAAUCCUUUGGUAUUCCUGAAGAUCAGAUACAUCAACACGUGGGGAACAUGCGUCUAACCCUAGAACUUCUAGACAGCUGUCAAAAGAAAUCAAAGGUCAGAACGCUUGAAAUCUCCUCGAGCAGUGUGCUUACUGUUGGGAUUAGACAUUCAUUAAUUAGCUAUAAUCAUUUUUCCCCCAAACGUGCUAUUUUGGUUUUUGUGCUAACGCUGGUAUGUGUGUCGUUUUGCAUGUGUUUUUACCCUUAGUAUAUAAACACUUUCUCUCACUUUUCACACUUAUCACUCUCACUCACUCUAAAACCCUAAACCCUUCUCUGAAAGUUCUCUGCAAGUUCUUCAUCUUCUUCAAUCUCCAUCAUCUUCAUCAACAUGGACGCUCAACAACAAGAACUCUUCAACCAUUCUCAACAAGUGGAAUCUAGUUCCAAUCCCCAAACCUCAAACACUCAAACACCCACGGUUAUAAGCGUCACCACAACCCCAGUUUACAAAGAACCUCACAUUCUUGACCGUGAACAACACAUUCAUCUUUCAACUCCCUUUGAAGGUUUGGAUGUACUGUGUGAAUCGCUGGUGGAUUUUGAGAAUUUGAGAAGAAAUGGCGUUGAUUUAACUGAAGAUCUUCGCAAGCAAGGUUGGGAAACCUACUUCAACAGAUUGUAUGGUCCAAUCUAUCCUCUUCUGGUGAAAGAAUUCUGGAGAUGUGCAGAUGCUGAUGAUGAGUUCAUUGUUUCUUUUGUUCUGGGAGUGAAGAUCAUCAUCACAGAAGCAUCUAUUGCCUCUUUGCUGAACAUGGAGAGAACUGGAGGUAAAAGGAUUUACAACAUUCCUCCAAGGUCCAAGCGCAUCACAGAAGUCAUUAACCCUACAAUCUUCAAAGCAAAUGUUGAAGGAAACCCAUCUAAGAACAAGGAGCUUCAUCAGAACCUCCGAGUUUGGCUGAAGAUUAUUCUGGGAACAAUCCAUCAUCGUCCAGCCUCCAACUCUUCAGAUUAUAUAAAUGCUGAUCAGAAAUGCAUCCUCUACUGUAUUCAGAAGGGUAUUCCAAUCAACCUCCCUGUUCUCCUCUUCAGAUAUCUGAGGGAUUCAGUCAGAGAAACAAGGAAUAAUAUGAAGCCCAGAUCCUACAUUCCUCUGGGAAGAUUGCUCUCUGACAUCUUCAUUGAGCAUGGGCUGGUAGAUGCUCUGGAGAAGACCAGAUGUAUGGAUGAUCUGGCAAUUGACGUUGGAAAGCCUCUGAAUGCCAAAAAUCUGAGGAGUAUGGGAAUCAUCAAAGACAUCAGAGUCAAGCCCACUAUGAAUGUAACCUGGGAAGCUCUGAAGGAUCAGAGGAAGAUGCCUCAUGGCCUUGAAAGGUUCUUCAAGAAUGAACCCAGAGAUGCCAUUGCUAUCUACCUUCAGGAUCGUCUGGAUGAAGGCAUUGAUAUCUCUGAUUUCCGCCUUGAAGACUGUCUGGACUCUGUAGAAGAUCUGGUCAGAUACAAAAGAGGUCUUUCUGAGAAGAAGAUAGCUGAGGAAGCAAGGAAGGCAAAGAAAGCCAGACUUGGAGAAACCUCUGGCACCAAAGCUUCAGCACCUCUGAAUGUCUCCUCUGGUAAGUCCAUUCCUCCUGUCUCUUCUGAAUCUGUAAUGGCUUCCUCUAACCCUCUCUCCUCUCAACCAAUAUAUACCACCGCUGAAAUACCACCUUCAACCAUCAGAACCUCUCAACCUCCACCUGUUCUAAAAAUUGCUCGUAAUUUCACAACAACCUCUGACCCUAAUCAACUAUAUCACCACAGCUCUUCCUCAUCCUCUGAAUAUGAAUCACCCCCUUACCUUUCCCCUUCUUCUGACCAAGAGUUCUCUGAACAAGAGUCCUCUGACCAAGAACACUCUGACCCAAACUCCCCAACAAUAGCUGAAAUUUAUGCUAAAAAUUUCGCUCCACAACCCUCAAGACAAUCUGAAGUAACCUCUCCCCUCCAAACUUCACUUCCACCACAACAAACAACAACCUUACCCUCUGAAACUCAACCAUCUGAUCCCUUCACCUCUAAUAUCACUCCACCAUUUAUUCCCGCUGUACCUGGACCAGACUCUGACCCUUUAGACCUAAAUCCACUAUAUGCUUCAUCCCCUAGUCUUCAACCAGACGCAGAUUCUGAACUUCAAGCAGAAUCUGAACCUCAACAAACUGAACCUCAACCUCUAAAUCUCAGCCCUCAAAACUCUCCACCUCAUUCACCUGAACCUGAACCUGAACUUACCAUACCUACCCUUGAGGAGGCCAUUAUACAGGUUGCAGAAGCUUCAGUCCAGAAGAUCAAGUCUCUGGCUAAAAACUCUGAAGUUAGUGAUGAUCCUAAAUCUGUUAGGACACACUGGAACAGAGUCAUUAGUUGGAUGACCUCUGAGUCUUAUAGGCUGAAGAGUAUCUCUGAACAAGUCAGAAAUGGCUACAUCAGAGACUCUGAGGAAAGACUCCAAGAGAGACUGGCUAGAGAAGCUGAGGCCAGAAGGUUAGAGGAAGAGAGACUGGCUAGAGAAGCUGAGGCCAAGAGAUUAGAGGAAGAAAGAUUGGCUAGGGAAGCUGAAGAAGAAGCUAAGAGGUUGGAAGAAGAACGCCUGGCAAAGGAAGCAGAACUUCUAAGGAUUCAGGAAGCUGAAGCCAAGGCUAAGGCAGAUGCAGAAGCCCAAGCUGCUGCUGAAGCUGAAGCUCAGCAGGCUCUGAUUCAGGGGGAGUCUUCCUCUGCGAUCCCUCUGAUUCUUAACACUCUGAAGGAGAUCAAGCAAGAUCAGAAAGAGAUCAAGCAAGAUCAGAGUGAGCUCCGGGCAAGGAUGGACAAGCAAGACGCUCUGAAUGAAAACCUCCAGAAUAUGUUUGCUAUGCUACUACAGAGACUUCCUCCUCCUCCAAACCCUUAGGCACUUAGGAUUUCUUUUGUUUGCCUAGUGUUUUUGCUUCUGUCUUUUCUUUUUUUUCUCUGAUAUUUCUGUUGAAUCUGAUGUUUUGACUGCUGCUUGCCUUUGUGCUUUUGUUUAAUGAAGUGUUUUUCUCUCUAUUAUUUUUUUUAUGUUUUAUGCCUUUUUGAUUAUGCCAAAAAGGGGGAGAAAUUAUUAAAUAGCUCUGAUGAAAAUUAUGUCUAAAACCUUAAGCAUUCUGCAACAAUUAUAGAAAUAGUUCUGAUAUAAAUAGCUCUGAUUAAAUAAUAGCUCUGAUUAAAUAACUCUAACAUUAAAAUUAAGAAAUUGCAGAAAGUUUUCAGAAAUCUCAUUGCUUGGAAAGCUCUGGUAAGAACUUCUGAACUCCCUAGUACUAACUCAGGGGGAGCUUUUGUCUAUCUGAUCUAAUAUUUUUCAUGUUUCAUCUGAUAAUUUUAUUUGUUUUGUCAUCAUCAAAAAGGGGGAGAUUGUAAGAACAAAAAUUGUUCUACAACAGAUUCCAUGAUUUUGAUGAUAACAAAGGAUGAAACCAAAAAUGGCACCCUAACGAAAAGUUUCUAAGUGUGCAGGGUUCUAAAGAAAGAAGAAAUAAAUCUGAUGAUGUCAUCAGAUGCAAAACAAGAUCAGAUGCAAAAUCUCAAGUAUCAGAAGCAUCUAAAGAGGAAUCUCGUUUCAAGAAGCUCUGACUCUGGACAAAACUACAAAGUAUCAGAAGCAUCUGAACAUGAAGUAAAGUCUAGAAGCUCUGACUCUGAACAAAUGCCUUCUGUAAAUUCUGAAGUUAUCAGCGCCAUCUGAACUUUCAAGAGAUAACAUCAGAAGCCAGUUUCUCCAGAUACACAAAGACUCUAAUCAGAAUUGUUAAUCAUGAUGAAGUAACGUUUAAGCCAAGUUAAAGUUCUGCAAAUGGAUUUCCUCAAUUAGAAAGAGACGUUAAUCUCCACUUCCAAGAGAGAAGAUACUAAUUGUGGUAAGUAGUCACUUCUAAGAGAAAAAGUCUACUGCAGAAGCUAUUAAUGGAAUGGCGUAACUACAUCUCAAUAUCCAACAGAUUCAACGCUACUUCAACUCUACUUCAACUCCUAUAAAUAGAGAAGAAAUCUCAUUCAGUAAACACGAAGAAAUCACUAGCCAAAACUAUACUGAAAUCAUAUCACGCUCAAGAAAAACAUCUUUGUUCUUCAAAGAUUUUCACUAAGCUUUUGCUUAUCAAGUGAAAAAUUUGUUCUUAAGUUUGUAAUAUUUGCUUUCUUAGAAGCACUCUAGAUUACACAUCUUGUAUCUAAUUUUUAUUUGAUUUCCUCAAGUGACUCUUUGUAGUCUGUAGACUUGAGAGGACUAAGAGAUUUUCUUCUCUCUUAGGGGUUGUUUGUAAUCUUUCAAGAUUAGUGGAUUAAGUCCUUGUUGAAGGCGAAAUCACCUUGGCCGGGUGGACUGGAGUAGCUUUGUGUUAUAAGCGAACCAGUAUAAAAUCUUUGUGUGAUUUCAUUUUGCAAAAGCGCUUAUUUUUCAAACAAUUCAAACCCCCCUUUCUUGUUUUUCUCACCUUCAAGUUUCACAAUUCUUUGAUGAACUAAAAUGCAAUUGAGGACUCCGCGUCUUUGAGUCAUAAAUCAUGGAGACUCAUAAUGCGUCCAAAAAUGCAUAUCCAAAAUUUAAGUGGCAUUUUCAAAUUUUUAUAGGAUGGUUUUCCAACACUUAUGUAGAGAUAAACAAUUUCGUAAUUAAAGGUCUCUAAGAGGAGUUGAAAUAAAUAUAUUUAAAAAAUUAGUAACAUAAUUAUUUAAGGAAUAAAGUUUUCUAACCAAAAGAAUUUUUCCCUAAUUUUUUUGUGCCUAAUUUAUUUUGCUAACAAAGUAAAGCCCUGAUUAUUGUUACUAAAUUUUAGUAAUUUUCAUUCAUCUCUCAAUUAAUAUCUCUUAUAAUCCUCAUUAACUCUCAAUUAAUGUAAUUCAUAUCUAUCAAAAAAAAUUGAAAAUUUUGUAUCUAGGCUUGGGACCAACUAGUUUAGUGAAUUGCUAAUUUCAUCUUAAGUGUUGGAAAUAUGCCCUAUAAAAUUUUGAAAAUACCCUUUUGAAUCCGAAAAUGCAUCUUCGAACGCACCUUACGCCUCACUAAAACACACCUCAACUUGUUGAUGUUUUUUAUGUAAUUCAAGUGAUGUAACCAGUUAUCUCGGGUAGGUAACCGGUUACAUAAAUGUCUAAAGUUCAAUCAAGUAGCAAAAAUGUGGAGUUUUUGAAGGUGUAACCGGUUAACCAUUUUGGUGUAAACGGUUACCACAAAAGCUGAUUUAAUUCAAUGUCAGGUGUAACCGAUUAUCCAUUUUUGUGUAACAUUACAAGCGUAAUAUUUUGAUUUUUCCUGCUAUUUUACUUGGUCAAUUCAGUUCCCAAUUGUGUUGUAUCUCUUGUAUAAGUGUUUAGAAUGCACACUCAUCUAAGGUUAAUGCAAUAAUAAUCUCUCCCCCUUAAUUCUCCUCUUUCACACUCCACAUCCAAAGUAUCUCCAUCAUUGUUCACCAAACUUGUGGUCUCUUGUUCCAAAAUUUGACAUCAAGAGUCUGGUUCAGAUCCACAAACACCUAGUGUGCAACAUGAAUUAUGUUUCCAAUGAAAGAAUUCCUGCAAACCUACCUAUCUUUGAUGCGAAGAAUUAGGAUAAACGGUGCAAGGAAAUGAAGAUGUUGUUUGGAUACCAAGAUGUUCUUAAAGUAAUCAAUAAGGAUGUUACUCCUCUUAUUCAAAAUGAAACAGAGGCGCAACAAGCAACACAUAAGGAAGAGAAGAAGAAAUAGUUCAAUGUGUUGAUGGCGAUGAUUUUAAGAAAGUUGAUGAUUGUGAAUCGUCAAAGUAAGCGUGAGAGAUCUUAGAGAAGGCAUGUGCAUGGGUUGACAAGGAAAAGGUGGUGAGGUUACAAACUCAUAAACGUCAGUUUGAAUUGAUUCAAAUGGAGGAAAAGGAGAUAAUCAAUGAUUUUGCAAUGAGAAUCACUCGGUUGGUGAAUCAAGUGAAGGCAUGCAAAGAAACUGUUACGGAGUUGUAUGUUGCUGCUAAAAUCUUGUGUUCUUUAACACCAAGAUUUAACAGUAUAGUUGUGGCAAUUGAUGAGUCAAAGGAUCCCGCGACGAUGAGCAAAGAGGAGUUGCAAAGUUCUCUUGAGGCUCAUGAGAAAAAGAUGGAAAAGAGGAAUAACGAUAAGGCAAAGGCGGAGAUUGCUUUGCAAGCUCGUUUCAAUGAGAAGGACAAGAGAUCGAAAGGAAAAUGGCCCAAGAAAAGAAAAGGGAAUUUUCAUAAUUUGGGUGGAAGAGAGUCCUAAAAUUCAAAUGAUUUGACUUGUCAAAGGGGUGAGAGCAGCUACAAUAAACAUGGUGGUCAAGGAAACUUUAGAGGUAGAAGGAAGAAGUUUGAUAAGAGCAAGGAGAUGUGCUAUAAGUGUCAAUGGUUCGUUCAUUUUGCAAAAAAAUACAAUGUGAACAAGAAAGAAUCUCAAGGGAUUAAACCAAGGUUGCAAGAUAAGAGUUUGAUGAAGAGAAUAUAAUUUUGGUCAUGAUCAAAGAAGGGAAUUAUAGCAGCAAACAACUGUGGGACAACAGCGGCAAUAAAUCAAAGAAUGCUAAAAAGGUCGGUUGAAUGAUACGAUUAACCGAUCGCAUGAAGAGGAAGAUACCAUGAUGAGUUUGAAAGGAGUUCAAUGUAGUGAUGAGUGGUAUUUGGACUUGGGUUGUUCAGCUCAUAUGACAGGAAUAAAGGAUUGGUGUGUCAAAAUCAAUCGUGCCAUGAAGAAUAAACUAAAGUUUGCAGAUGAAACCACCCUAAUGAUCGAUGGGAUCGAUGAUGUUUUGAUCAUGAGAAGGGAUAAUGGACAUUACUUAAUCACAAAUUCUUGUACAUUUUUGGAAUCAAAUUUAACCUUCUAAGUAUUGGCCAAUUGCUUGAGAAGGAUUCCAAGAUUCACAUGGAAGACAAUGGGUUGUGCGUUAUGGAUAUAAGAGGAGGCUUGGUCCUUAAAGCGCAUAUGGCUGCCAAUAGAACCUUUAAGGUUGAGUUGAAGGUUAUAGAGUAUAAAUGUCUUGCUACUACAUCAAGUAGACAACAGUGGAUAUGGCACUAUCGUCUUAGACAUCUCAAUUUUAGAGAUCUCAAAGACUUUCAAAAGAACAUAAUGGUAACAGGGCUGCCAUUGAUCAACAUACUAGCUGAAAUUUGUGAAGAAUGUGUGCAAGUGAAGCAACAUAAGGGAAAAUUGAGCAAGUAGACUCUAUUGGUGGAAAUAUGUAUUUUGUCACAUUUAUCGAUGAUCAUAGUACAAAACUAUGGACAUACCUAAUCAAGAUAGAUGACAAUGUAUUUCAUGAUCGUCCGUCAUUGCAUAUAUUUAGUCGAAGAAUCAGACAAAACAAGUGAAAGUUAAGAUAAAAUGAAGAAGAAUAAGGAAAAAAUAUCUAAGCAUGGAAACUGGGGACUUAUUGAAAUUUUGAGUAAAAAAGGGAGCAAAAGUGUGCAACCACUGGAAUAAUCAUGCGCACCAUCACGUAGCAUCGUGCACACAAUGGGGUCUUUAAAGUUGCAUCGCGCAUGCGAUACAAGGAAUCACGCGCGUGAUAAAUACUUUUUAUGGGCUUUUCAGACGCGUUCUGGUCCAUUCUAACGCCUUUAAAAGGGGAUUUUCUGAACUUUCACAAGAGUUACAAAAUUGGGAGAUCUAGGCACUACUUUGAGAGCACAAGUGGUGAUUUUUAUAACAUUAGAAGUUAUUGGAGACCAUUACUUCAACGUAUUUCACAUGUUAUUUUCAUCUAUCAAUUAUGAUAUUUUUAAUUGCAUUAUGAGUAGCUAAGCUCCUCUAGAUUAGGUUGUAUACUGAUGAACCUAUUUCUAUAUUGUUGGAAUCUAUGUUGAUUUAACAAUUGUGUGAACCUUUUGAACUAUAAUUCCAUUCAAUUGCUUCUUGUUCAUAAUGCUUUUUAUGUGAGAUGAUAUUUUAAUAUGAUUUUGGGAACAUAAGGAAUACUGACCAUUAGUCUAUGUGUUGGACCUAGGGAAAUUGUUGUACUUACGCUGGUUGAAUAGGAAUAGGAGACCCUGAGUAGUGGCGUAGAGAAUUAACGCUUUAUACAUCGCCUAACCCUGCUUACGCUGGAGGACUAAGGAUAAAAAGCUCUGAGUGGUGGUUAGUGAGUUAUUUCAUGAGGGAUCAACUAUAACAGUUUUGUUAAUUCGUCGUGGUGUUAUAGUGAUAAGACCAUUCGUACAAGACAUCAAACAUCAACAAUAGAGGAAUAUGAGAUUUUAAAACACAACUUGGCCGCUUUCGUGAUAUUGUUUAAUUGUUUAUUUACUUUUUGCACAGAAACUCAACCCCCCCCCCCCCNNNNNNNNNNNNNNNNNCCCCCCCCCCCCUUUACUAGUUUUUUAUAAAUUGCACACAUUUUGUCUUGCUUGAACGAAGUUCACGUGGAUUCGAUCUUUUUAUUACUUCGACGAUGUCAAUACACUUGUCGAGAAGUCAUCAAGUUUUUGGCGCUUUUGCCAGGGACUAUUAAUUUUUCAUCAAGGCGAUGUUUGUGCAAUUUUUUUUAGUCUUUAAAUUUUAUGUUUUAUUUUCUUGUUUCUCAAAAUGCUAUUGAGGUAUUUUCUAUUUGUGUAUGUACCGUUCAGGAUCAACAUUAAUACCAUUGGAUCCAAAAAUUGAAAGAAACGCACAUGCUCUCAGAAAAGCUGUUAGAGGAGCAACUCUGGAAAGAGGAAUACUAGAAGAAGAGUAAUUAUCAAGUUAGUCAUACUCUGAAGAUGAAGCUGUAAUGGCAGAUGCACAACCCCUAACUAUGGGGGAUUAUUAUAAAUGAACCGAUGAAGGACACUUCUCCAGAGGGUUUGUACCGGUAGACCCUUCUAACUUUGAUAUUAAAAAUUAUGUGCUUUAAGGUUUGAGAGAAAAUUUGUUCGGCAGGAACACGAUUAGAGACCUAUGGGUGCAUCUUACACACUUCUAUGAAACAACUUCAAUGUGAAAAUCAAUUGAUGCCACUGAAGACCAGGUUAAAUUGAGGUUGUUUGGGUUCUCACUAAUUGGAAGGGCGAAGAUUGGUUACUUUUCCUCCCGAAUGGAACGAUACGAACAUGAAAGGAAUUAGAGGAUAAAUCCCUGGAAAGAUUUUUCACUACUACUCAGUUUACCGAGCGCUAAGCAGAAAUUGUGAGGUUUGAGCAGUAGGAAAUUGAGUCACUUUAUGACUCUUGGGAAAGAUUCAAACUUUUGUUACGCAGAUGCUCGAAUCACAACAUGAAUAAUAUAGAGCAGAUGCAAAACUUCAUUAAAGGUCUCAAAGUCAAACUCACGUAUUUUUGGAUGCUUCUACGAGAGGUACUAUCUGAAAAAUGAAUGAACCAUGGGUAAAAGAUAUCAUUGAGAAAAUGUGUAUAAUUGAGUACCGAUCCAAGAACGAAAGGUCGAUCAAGAUGGGAACUGUGGGCACGCCUAAAGGUAUGUUACCUAUUGAUACCCACAUUGCUCUUUUAGCUCAGAUUGAAUUAUUAAAUAAAAAGCAAGCUGGAAGAAGCUUAGUUAAAGCUAACGUAAGUCAGGUACAAGCACUUAAAAGCGAUUUAUAUGGAGGAUAACAUGCGAAUGGAAGUUGUUCAUUGGAAGGGACAAGUGAGGAGGUAAAAUUUUAUAAUUUUUAAAAAAAAUAACUUGUAUUCAAACACAUAUAAUCCGGGUUAAAAAGACCACCCAAAAUUCCUUUGGAAUAAUAAUCAAAAUUCAAAUGCUAACUAAGGGAUGCAACAAAGCCAACAAGCUCUGUUUCAAAGAAAUCCAUCACAAAUGGUAGAGACCUUGAAAAUUUUCAUUAAGGUCACUCAAAGUAGCUUUGCUAGGGUAAAUAAGACCCUUGAAGAAAUGAGUAGAAACUAGGAUGCGUCUAUCAAAAUUUUGGAGAUGAAGAUUGGUCAAUUAUCCAGACAAGUAGCUACUUUUCCAAGCUCAAGUGGAGGAUUCACCAGUAACAUUGUUGAUAACCCUAAGAAUGAUAACCCUAAAUAUAGGUUUAGGGGAAAUUACUGAAAAGGAUAAGGAGGAGAUAGUUAAAGAACGUGUGGUUAAGAUAGAUGAGGGUACAAAUCAAGGUGACCAAGAGGAAAGAGGAGACAUCAUUGAUCAACUUAUUGACAAAAAUUCUCCUCGGGGGAGAACAAAGAAGCAGAUCAUGACUGAACCAAAUCCUCCUUUACCAGAUCACGUAAAACCACCGUACCCAAUAAUUAAAAAGAAAGUGGUUUAAGAUGAUGAAGCGAGAAUGUUUGCAAAGUUCAAGGAAAUUCUAGCUACUCUCCGGGAAAGUAUUUCGUUCCAUGAAAUUUUAGAACUAAUGCCUAAGUUUGCUAAAUUUAUGAAGGCGUUACUAAAUGGGACGGAAGAGAAAAGGAUCAAGGAACAUGUAAACAUGACCGAAAAGAAUGAUAUGGUAAAACCUCAAUCCUUACAACCUAAACUAAAAGACUCAAGUAAAUUUAUGAAGGAGUUAUUAAAUGGGACGAAAGAGAAAAGGAUCAAGGAACAUGUAAACAUGACCGAAAAUGAUGAUAUAGUAAAACCUCAAUCCCUACAACCUAAACUAAAAGAAUUAGGUAAGUUUACUAUUUCCUAUAAUAUUAGUGGAUUCAAUAUUCUGCAUGCUCUAUGUGAUAUGGGAUCUAACAUAAAUGUCAUGCCACCGAAAACUGUCAAAGAAUUAAAAGUGGGUGAGAUCACACCGAGUAACAUGACUCUCAGUCUAGUUGAAUUGUCUAUUACUCAUUCAAUUGGUACUUUACGCGACAUAUUAGUACCUAUCGACGACUUAUUGUUUCCUAUAGAUUUUAUAGUGCAUGAUACAAAAGAAGAUUCGGGAGGAUCUAUUAUUCUUGGACAUCCAUUCUUGGCAAUCGGGAAAGCAAAAGAUUGAUGUGUAAACUGGUCAACUUAUCUUGAAGUCAAAUAAAAGGAAUGUGGUUUUCAAGGUAUAUGACUGGACACCUUAUGUGGAUAAUUUGGAUACUUUCUACUAUCUGGAUGAAAAAGGUAGGAAAGUAGAUAAAGGAACAAUGAGAAAGAAAGUGACAGGCGUGAGGGUGUCCCUUGCGCCUGACGUACCUUAGACAUGGAUUAUCAAGCUAGUGAUGUUAAAAAAGUGUUUGAUGGGAGGCAACUCAUCAAUAAGAAUUUAUUUUUUUAUCAUAGUGAAUAUUAAUUUUUCUAACCUUGUUAAUUUUUGUGCUAUGUUAUUGGAAGAGAAAAUAGGUGAAAGAAGAAAAGAAAGAAAAAGCAAAAGGGAAGAAAAUAGAAAAAGAAAAGAGAGAGGAAAGUUUCAUCCCCCAGAAUCAUCACGUAUGAUAAUAUAAACUAGUUCUUUACAAUAAUAAAAUUUGAUAUUUAUUUAUACAAACACAAUUAUAUAAAGAGAAUAACACACAAAUCACACAUGAUAAUUUUAGAAUAAUUAUACUCUAAUAUUUUUUGAGUCGUGAUAUAUCCUCUUCUUAAAUAUUUGAAAGUUGAAUCUCUCUCACUAAUCUCUAUUCCCCUAUUUAUUUUAAGAAUAAACAUAUUGAAUUAAUAAAACAUAAUUGCACCUUUCUUAAAGGUUAUACAAACAACUACUAAAGUUGAAAAAACUAAAGAGAGGUCAACUCAAUCUUUAUCAAAUUAAAUUAAAGUUUAUUAUAAAACACAAACAACUAGUUCAUUCAAAUGAUAACUUGUUUAGUACACAAGUAAGAUCUUACUUAAUACAUAGAAAUAAGAUCUUACAGAAUAUAGAGAUUAAAAACAUAGGAAUAACAUGAAAAGCUUUUAAAAUGACAUAGACAUUGAUUAACAAAGAUAUGAACUAGUUUCGGGUAUUUCUUAACCAUCCGUCAAGGUAAACUUGUUUGGAGUCAGGGGUGGAUUUUGCUUUCUCGACUCGGAUAUCUUUCAACCAUCCAUCAAGGUAAACCUGGUUGUUGUCAGAGGUGGAUUUUACUGUCUCGGCUCGGAUAUCUUUCAACCAUCCAUCAAGGUAAACUUGUUUUGGAUCAGAGGUGGAUUUUGUUUUCUCUGCUCGGGUAUCUUUCAACCACCCAUCAAGGUAUACUUGGUUGGAGUCAGGGGUAGAUUUUAUUCUCUCGUUUCGAUAAUCUUUCAACCAUCCAUCAAGGUAAACUUGGUUGGAGUCAGACAUGGUUUCUGUUUGCUUUGCUCGAGUAUUUUUCAACCAUCCAUCAAGGUAAACUUGGUUGGAGUCAGAGGUAGAUUUUUCUUUCUCAGCUCGGGUAUCUUUUAACCAUCCAUCAAGGUAAACUUGUUUGGAGUCAAGAUUUUUCUUUCUCAGCUCGGGUAUCUUUUAACCAUCCAUCAAGGUAAACUUGUUUGGAGUCAGAGGUGGAUUUUGUUUUCUCUGCUCGGGUAUCUUUCAACCAUCCAUCAAGGUAAACUUGAUUGGUGUUAGGCAUGGACUUUUCUUUCUCAACUCUGAUAUUUUUCAACCAUCCAUCAAGAUAAACUUGGUUGGAGUCACUUGUAGAUUUUGUUUUCUCAACUCGGGUAUCUUUCAACCAUUCAUCAAGGUAAACUUGGUUGGAUUCAGAGGUGGAUUUUGCAUUCUCUGCUCUGGUAUCUUUCAACCAUCCAUCAAGGUAAACUUGGUUGGAGUUAGGUGUUGACUUUUCUUUCUCAACUCUGCUAUCUUUCAACCAUCCAUCAAGAUAAACUUGGUUGGUGUCACCUGUAGAUUUUGCUUUCUCAGCUCGAUUAUCUUUCAACCAUCCAUCAAGGUAAACUUGGUUGGAUUCAGAGGUGUCUUUUGCUUUCUUUGCUCUGGAAUCUUUCAACCAUCCAUCAAGAUAAACUUGAUCGGAGUUCUGGGAGGAUUUGGUUUUCUCUGAUCGUGUAUCUUUCAACCAUCCAUCAAGAUAAACUUGGUUAGAGUUAGCAAUGUGUUUUCGACUCUUCAAUGGAUUUUUGAGCCAACCAUCAAGGUAAGGUUGAUCAGCUUGUAUUUCUUGUACAUUCUCUUGCUGAAGUUUGAUAUAUCGGGCAAAGCUUCCUUGUCCAUUCUAUAAUACAAUUGAAUAAAUGGAUAUUAGUGAGUUAUUUUUGGAUGGUAUAUAUGAUUACAAAAACAAAAUUAUGUGUUUUAUGAGACACAUUAUGUUACAUAAAUAAGACACAUUCAUUGUAUAUUUCAGAUGGAUAUAGAAUGCGAAAUAAAAAUCAAAGAAAAACAAUUUUUUAAAUUUCAUUGCCGCAUAGAAAAUAUUAUUUUGUCAAAUUAAAUAGAACAACUUGAUUAAGUGAAUGAUGAAAUCAAAUCAAAUAAAGAUGCAAAAUGAUAGAUUGUGAUAAAUAAAUGAUGAAAAAUAUAUGUGUAAAAGAUACAAGAAUGGAUGCAUAACUUACAAUCAAUAAGAGCAUGAUAAAAGGGAGGAGAGACAAAACAUCUUUGUUUGUCAUUUCUUUAAUGUUAUGAUUUUGUGGGAAAAUUGUUUUAAUGUAAAAAGAUGUAUUGAAAUGGAAGUGAAUUGUGCUAUUUAUAAGUGAAUGAAAAGAAAAACUACAUUAAGGACAUUGAGACUUUGGUUGGCAAGAUUAUUUUUUUAAAUAUUUAGUUUAAAUUAUUUUUUAAAUGUUUAGUUUAAUUGAUAAGUUUAUAUGUCUAAGAAAGAUCAAUUUACUAAGAUUUAUUAUUUACAAGAUCUAUUAGGUGUGUUGUUUUGAGUUAUAAAAAAUAUUAAAAAAAUUGUUUGUUUGAUAUAUUUUUUUAAUUAGAAGCUCCUAACUAAAUCCUCUUAGUUUAAAAUAAAUAAAUUUUAGAACUGCUACUGCAAUUAUUUUUAUUUUAAAAUUAAAAAUGAUUUUCUAAAAAUCCUUAAUAAAAACAUAUUAAAAUGACAAAGGUGAUUUUGUUAAAUGUUAAACAAACAUUUAUUUUGAUAAGUUAUUUCAAAUAACUUAAAAUUUCAUAAAUUUAUUUUAAUUUAUAAUUAAAGUGGUAAUUAUGAUAAUCUCGCCUCUUGAGUUCUAAUAUUUGAGCUAAUAGUAUAAAUAUGUUUUAGUUGAAUUAGAAUUUGCAUUAGUGAUAGUUUCAAUUUUACAAUUAAUUAGACUAAAAUAUUGAUGUUCGUCAUAUAUAUAUAUAUAUAUAUNUAUAUAUAUAUAUAUAUAUUAAAUAGUAAUUAUAUAUUAUAAAUUUUAAUUUUGGGAAAAAAAUAUUAUUUCAAUAUUUUAAAAUUUUAAUAAUUAUUGUUUUAUAAAAUUAAUUAUAAUGAGUAUAAUAUUUUAAUUUUAUUAUCAUCAAAUAUACCCUACAUCAAAAUUCACAAACUUUAAAUAUAAAUAUCGGGAUCCACUUAAUUGAAUUGGAAUUUAAACAUCAAAAUUUAGACAAAUGUUAAAUUUUGAAGCACUUGGUUUUUGAAUCAUGACUCUUCUACAACCAACUCCUAGGGACUUACUACAUAGCCAACAAUGAAUCCAAAAUAGUUUCACAAGAAACACUAAAAUACUGUGUUGGCCUUUGCAUGUUUAAGAUGUUCACAUGUAGCUGGGGUUUGCGUGCUUAUGAGCUUACCUAAUAGUAAGUUAAAAAAACAAUAUAUUAUUAUACUGACCAGUCUAAAGAGAAAUAGAUAAGUUACUGUAUUUGUUAUUAUAAUCAAAUAUUAUCUAAAAAAGAAAUAAAUUAUAAGGAAUAUGUUUUCAUUAUUUUUAUCUUUAUUUAAAGAAUAUAAAUAUUUUUUAAUUAAUGAUAAAUAAUUGAUUUUAAAUGUGAUUACGGUUUAUAUCUUUAUCUAAGAAAAUAAAUGAUAAAAUGUGAAUACUCAUAUCUAAAAUUAAAUAUUUAUCCAAUUAUGUAGGCCAGCCUCAUAUUUAUUGUAAAAAUUUUAACAAAGUUUAAAAUAAUGAAAAUUAGAAUAAUGGUAUUCCUACAUUAAAUCUUACAUCAAAUACUUACAUUAAAUAUUUUUUACCGUAUUUAAACGAUGAAUAAUAUUUUUAUUUUUAAUAAAAAAAUAUUUAUAUAAAAAUGUUUUUAUUUUUAAAAUUAUUUUUAUAAUAAAAAUAUAAAAUUUAUCACAAAAUAAUUUUAUUAUCGUAUUAACUAUAAAAAUAUAGGUUAUAAAUCACAUAUUUCACUUAUAAUUCAUUAACCAGUAAAAUACAUAAUAUUAAUCAAAUUAUGAUAUUAAAAUAUGAAAUAUAUAAUUUGCUUAAUUAUUAUAUUUUAUAUUUUAAUGUCACAAUUUAUUUAUAUUAUUUAUUUUAUUAAUUGAAUAUAAUAAUAAGUAAAAUAUAUGGUUAAUCAUCUAUAUUUUUAUGAUUAAUACAAUAAUAAAAUUGAUUAGUGACAAAUUUUAUAUUUAUAUUACAAAAAUAAUUAUAAAAAUAUAUCAAAAACGAGUUUAAGACAACGUAGGAAAAAGUGAAGUGACACUCAAAUAUUAUUUGCUCAUUAAGCAAUCAGUUAAAAUUAAAGUGAAUUAACGAAUUAAGCAUAAAGUUUCACACAAUCAAAAUUAGGGAACAAUAAAUCAAUCGAACAAAACAAAACUACUAAGUUUUGAGUGUAAAAUUUGGUGUAAUAUUAAAAAUUAAAAAAAAAUUGAGGUUUAUAAGAUGUAAAAUUAUUUAUUAAACUCUUUUAAUAAAUUUAAUAUUAUGAUAAUUUAUUAUGAUAAAUAAUAUUUAAAAUAAGAAAAGAUUGAGCUUUUAAAGGAUGAAAUUCUAGUCAUUAGAUUAAAGAAAACAUCACCAAAACCUUAUUUCACAGAUGAAAUCGACUACAUAUAUGAUAUAUCAAUUUUCACGCUAAUAUUCUAUCAAUCACCAUAUUUUAUAGCCAUUAGACUAUUUAAUCAAAAUUAUUCAUAAUAAAUUUCAUUUGAUAUUUACUUUUUAAUAGAUAAUAAAGUAGAUAUAUUUAAUCUUUAUUAAAAAAUUAUUAAACAUUAUUGGUAUUAAAUAUGAUUUUAUUAAUUUUAAUUUUGAUAUAAUUAAUGGAUAUAAGUAUUGGCUCAAGAUAUAUCAAAGCCUUUGCCAAAUUUUUAACAAAGAUUUUAAUAAUAAAAAUUAUGAGUGUAAUAUUUAAAAUAAAAAAUUGAGCUUUUUAAAAUGUAAAAUUAUUGAUUGAAUUAUCAUAAAUCAGUUAAGUGUGUAUUUAUGCAAGAUGGGACAUCCCAUUUGCAGGGGCACAAAUUCAACCCACAACAUCUCACUUUUUAUCUUGGAAAAUUCCAAUCAAUAAAUUACUUGAUCCAAAAAAAUCAUAGUAAAUCUUGUUUGAUAUUUAUUUUCAAUCAAAUAUAUGUAAUCCUUAAUGAAACCUUAAACAUUAUUGAUUUUAAAUAAGAUUUUAUUAACUUUAAUUUUAUACCAUUAAUAGAAGGACUAUAUUCUGGAACGAAUUAAUAUAUUUUCGUUAUUCUUAUUUUUAUUUAAAUAUUUAAAUAUUAUUUAAAUUAAUAAUAAAUAAUUGGUUUUAAAUGUGAUGAAGUUUAUAUCUUUAUCCGAAAAAAUAAACGAUAGUGAAUAUUUAUAUUAAAAAAUAACACAAUACACUUAAAUAUUUAAUCUCCUUAACCUAUCUAAAUAUCUAGGCCGGCAUAAGACAUAUUGAAGUUUAGUGUAAAAAAUUUAACAAAGCUUUUAAUUAUAAAAAUUAUGACUGUAACAUUUAAAAUAAAAAAAAUUGAACUUUAUUAUUAGAUGUCAAAAUAUUUAUUAAACACUCUUAAUAAGUAUUAAAUAUAAAUUUAUUAAAUUUAUUUUUGAUACAAUUAAUGAAUAUAAGUACGGGCUCAAGAGAUAUACACGCCUUUGAUAAAAAAUUUAACAAAGAUUUUAAUUAUAAAAAUUAUGAAUAUAACAUUUAAAAUAAAAAAGUUGAUCUUAAAAGAUGUAAAAUUCUUUAUAAAAUUAUUAUAAUAGUUUUUGAUUAAUUAAUAUGCACAGUCAAUAUCAUUUUUUUAUUAUUAUUAUUAUUAUUAUUAUUAUUAUUAUUAUUAUUAUUAUUAUUAUUAUGCGUCGGUGUACAACUCAUAAAAAAAGACGUCAAUCAUAAAUAUAUAUUGGUACAGUGUCGUCAAUUGGAUUGACGCAUCCUCGUAGGUGUUAUAUGCAGGGAUGAAGCUAGAGAUUUUGAACUGUAGGAGCAAUAUAUUAAUAUAUAAAUUUAUUUCUAUUUAUUUUUAAAUCAUAAAUAUAUAUUUAAUUUAUUUUUAAAUCAUAAAUAUAUAUUAUAUCUAUUUUUUAAGAAAUCUAUCUCUAAAACAAUUUUUAUUAAUUUUUUAAAAUUUUAAAAUUUUAAAAUUUUGUAAAUUUUAAAAUUUUAUUAUCAAGAAAAAUAUUUUUUUAUGUAUUUUUUAUGAGAUCAUAAUAUUAACAUAAAAUUCUAUAAAUCAAUUUUUUUAAAGAUCGAGGAAAAAAUUAUUUUAAAAUUAUAACAAGAAAAACAAUUCAAUAUAUUUCAUCUGACAUGUUUUAAUUUAAUUAUUGAAAAUAAAAAAUUCACUAUAUUUUUGGACAAUAUCCUAAAUAAAUAUUCAUAUACUUUAUUAUUUUCAUCUAAUUUUUAGUAAUAUCUUCAUAAUAAUAAUAUUAUUUAUAUAAAUUUAAAAUAAUAUAAAUUUAUAUAUAUAUAUAUAUAUAUAUAUUUAUAUAUAUUAUAUAUAUAUUAAUAUAUAUUAUAUAUUAUAUAUAUAUAUAUAUAUAUAUAUAUAAUAUAUAUAUAUAUAUAUAUAUAUAUAUAUUAUAUAUAUUAUUUAUAGUAGGGACCAUUUGUCUUAUGCUAUUUUAAUUUGUUAUUUCUUAAUUUCCCCGUCUAUUUCAGUGUUUGGAUUAAAAAAAGGGGGGGGUCGGGGGUUCCCUCUUGGGGGUGGGUUUAGUAUUUUAAUGUUUUUUUACUUAAUAUUUCUUUUGUGUUUUUCACAUUCUUCUAUGUCUUAGAUUGACGUCUUCUUUAUUUUGAAAGUGGGUUACUCUCAGAAAUAAUUGAAAAAGUAAAUUAUUUUAGAUAUCUAUUUGAAAAGUUAGAAAAUCUUAAAUAUUAUUCAUUUUAAAUAAUAUUUUAUUAAUAUAAUUUUUAAUACCAUUAAUAGAAGGACUAUAUUCUGGUAUCAACCGAAAGGAUUAUAUUAUUGGACUAUUUUAAAUUUCCUAUUAUAUUGUUGUCGUCUAUUAUCAAUUUAUUUUAUCAAUAAAUCACUAUUUGAAAUUUUAUUAGUAUUUAAGUCUUUAAAUUCAUCUACACCUUUGACUUCUACUAUUAAUUUUCAUUUUCAUUUUUUUAAUGUUUAUAUAACUGGUACAUUGUUAACUUGUUUAUUUAAUAAACAUUAAGCAAUAUUUUUAAAUUAACUUUUUAAUUUAUUUUUAUAAAUUUAUCUAAAGUUCCCUUUUAUAAUUUAAUUAAAAUUUCAACUCUCUUUUUUUAAUUUCUAAUUUUUUUUAUUCAAAUUUUUUUAAUUGACAUUACUCUAAAUAACAUAAUAAAACAAUUUCCACAAUAAACACAAACAAAAAAAAAAUUCAAAAAUAAGAUAAUUGAUUAAAUAUAAAUGAUUUAAAUUAAAAGUAAAUAAAAUAAAAUUGCAUAAAUAAAAUAUAAUUUUAUCCUUUUACAAUGCUAGAGAGGACAUACACUUUAUCAUAGAAGUAACGAUUAAUUAAUGGAGAUGAUGAAUUAACAUAUUUUAUACUCUCAUAUACACAUUUUAGGUUGGAAAUGAUUUGAUAUAAUCCUUUAUCUAACCUGUUUAAAUUUUAAUGGGUUGAAUUUGUCGUUCAACCCACAAUUUCAUUGUCAAAAUUGACAGAAACCGACUUGUUUAUUUAAGGGUUGUGUUCGCGAUGUUUUAAAUAAAAAUUAUUUUUUUAUAUAUUUUUUAAGAUAUAAAAAAUUUAACCCAAUUCAAAUUAGAUGAAACACAUCAUAUAAUGUCUAAUAAAGUUCAUCAACACGACAUAACACUCGAUAAUAGUAUUAAAUUCUAAUAGUAUCAAUGUUAAAUUAUUUUAAAACAAUUAUUUUAAUUAACUCUUUAAUCAUAACAUUUAUUUAUUAUAUUUUUAUAAUACAUUAUAAUAAAUAUAUUAUAAAUAUUCUUAUUUUUAAUUAGAAAUAUAUAAUGAUAAGUUAAUUAAAUAAUUAUGGUUUGUGAAAAACAAAAACAAAAUCAACGUCAAAGUUAUAUGCUUCAACAAUUUAUAUAAUGACUCAUUUUUAAAUAAAAUAGCUUUAAAAAUUAAAAGUUUGAAAAAUAAUAGUUGAUAUAUUAUAUAUUUUAUUUAUUUUUAUGUUGACAAUAUAAAACAUAGACAUUAAUUUUAUUCUUUAACCAUAAUUUUUAUAAUAUAUUAAAAUAAAAAGUAGUUAAAAUUAACUAAUAAAAUUAAUUAUAAAUAGUUUAAAUAAUUUAAUUAUUAUCAAAUAAAAAUAUAUAAAAUAUUUAUUUAGUAAAGAAUAUUAAAACGAAUAACAAAUUAUAUGAGAUGAUAUGACUUUUUUAUAAUCUUUUGUUUUCUUAAGUUAAAUUAUUUAGUAGAUAAAAAAAAAAAUUAAAAUUGAUAUAUUUCUCUCUCUUCUUUAAAUGAUAUUUUUUUUUCUAUUUCUUACCUUUUAAUAGUUGGAUUAAUCAAAUGGUUUAAAAUUGCACAUGAGAGAGGGCAUAAGAGAAAAAAUUGGAGAGGAUCCAAUUCCGAUAAAAAGAUGUGGUAAAUUUAUGAGUAGUUUAAUAAUUUAUACAUAUUUUUAGCCUUAUUAAUUGUCACUUCGUUGAAAAAGAAAAAGGAAAUAAUAAUAAUGAUAGUGAUAAUAAUUAAAUAAUAUUGAAUUUUUUGACAAAUAAUGUUAUUAAAUAUUAUUGAAUAUAAUAGAUGAAAGAGAAAAAAAAAUGAAGAUCUUUGUCUGGCUUACCUCCUCGUUGAAUAGGGUAUGCUAACUAUUAAUAUGCCAAAGCCUCUUUAAAAAAUUAAACAAAUCAAUUAUAGGAUCCGAUAACUAUUAAGGAAUUUCUUAUGUCAUCAUAUGAAAUGGAAAAACUAUACAAAAUUUAAAAUAUUCAUUCAAGUUUAAAGAUGCAUCUUCGAAUACACAUUUGUAUCACCUUAUGACGCACUAAAUGAGCGACACCCUAAAGUAAAAUAAAAUCUUAUUCCAAAGAUACAUCUCUGAGUAUUUUGAACAAAUAUAUUGAUAUUUAAGCAAGCGUCCUCAGCAUGACCAGAUACCUGUAUCAUACACUCAGUUGCUGUCGUAUCUUGUCCAGUAAGGGGCAAUUGCGCCAAAAGAGAUUCCGCAUGCAACUCCUCCCUAAAAUCACAAGCAUAAUCCUAAUGUGCCUUGUUCAUUUCAUGUCGGAUACAUAGGGCAUUCUAUAGAGGAUUAUUUGGUCCUCAAGGCCAUAAUGCAAGAGUUAAUUGACCAUAAGGUUUUGUCAUUCUUUGACGCAUGACCCAAUGUCAUAAACAACCCGUUGCCAGACCACUGUGGACAAAUAGUGAAUGCAGUUAGUGGCGAAGAUUGCUCAGAUUCAGUUGCUUCUUCAGAGGAGUAUCGAUGCUAGCAAUAUCAUAUUGAUUCAAUCAUGUAUCAUUUGUAAUCCUUUCUUGUUUUUUAAAUGUUGUUCAUUUGUAACUUGUCUGGUUUUUCAGAUGAUAAUAAUAAUGAAAUAAACGUGCAUGUUUUGCUUAAAUCCAUUCGUGUCCACUCAUAUUUUAUUUUAUCAGUAUCAAACUGUUUGUCGAACAAAAUCAAAAGAGAAUGAUGCAAUUAAAAAUACGCAAGAUCGCUGCCUGUAUGGUUUUGAAUAAGAUCGUGCUGAUGAUGUAAGGCAUUGUUCAAUCCCUAAACACCGGAGAUAUAAGGAAGAUAAUCCCUAGUCAACCCCUUUGGGUAUUGUAAUAGGAGUUUCUUUCUUGAACACAUAAAACCCUCAUGCUUAACCAGGGGCAGAGUAUUCUUCAGUUAGUUUAGACUUGCAUUCAAAUUUAAGAAGGACAAUAUCUCAUCCAGUGAUCAAUCAUAUCAUAUCCCUCUCAAGAGGAUGGAAUCAUAAAUCCAGGAUGGUUAUCCCUUACCCAUCAAAAAGAGUGAGAUAAUCACGACUCGUGCAACAAAUCGAGAAAGCUGUGUCACAAGGUUUUCUCUAGUACAAAAAUAAAAGAUGAAACAAAAUUAAAAGCCCGCUAAGUCAAAAGCUUGAAAACAAGAUUGACUUAGGCAAAAGUCAGGGUAUCCCGGUGGGAUGCAGACCCAAAGGAUCAGCCUAGGAAAAAAUAAGGGUAAACAAAACAAAAGAAUUAGAGGAUCAAUACCAAAAUUCGUAGCGAGAGCAAAUCCCUGUGACUAUAAACAAAAGCAGAAGGCGAGUGGCUAUCGCUCUAAAUUCUCGUGGAUUCCUUAAACCAUCAUUGUUGAUAUUCAAAAUCCUUUCUGAAAGACGAACGCUUAUUUUAAGCUAAUUGAAUAUAGAACUAGAUAACAUCACACAGAAUGGGUGGGUUAGAAUAGGUUUUGAGCCUUAUAUCCUUUCUUUCUGAAACCGUGAACUAGGCCAAGUUACAACCCUCAAAAGACCUAAUUGAAGUAGGGUUUAUUUCAAAAGCAUACUAUGGUAAGAUCGCGUUAAGCUGACUCCUUAAGAUUUUCUUGUCAUAUGUUUGAUACUGAUAUGGCAUUCUAAACAGUGAUUUGUUCACUAGAUGUCAUAAUCUUAGUGAACACACUUGAGUUUUCAAAACUUGCAUGAGCAUGACAUUACAAUUAUCAUUUUAAAAAUGAGCGUUUUACAUGCGAACAUGCAUUUGACACCAAGGAAGCUUACAAUGGGAAAGUUGAUCAAAUUCCUAAUAUCCCAUAGCUCAAAUCUCUUCAAGAGCCCGUCAAUCUAAGGCACCAUGCCAAGAUUUUGCAAAUCUCUCUGAAUCAGCUGUAUAAGGGAAAAGUUUAAUUCGAAGUUCAUAUUGGGGAAGGCCACCUCAAGAGCAUGAGAAGUCAAUCACUCCUAAGAUAAUUAACUAGGAGGAUAUAGUUUCAAGAUGCUGGGGCAAGCCAGUUUGAGAUACUCAGAUGACGAGAUCACUCUAAUUUGUAAUUGGAGAAAUUGGUGCAGAUAUCCAAUACAUUGGGGCAGAGGCAGGCUACGCAGGUACAAGCUCUCUCCAUGUUCUAGACAUAAUCCAGAGGUGUGACAACAAUUUUUCAGCUUGAAGUAGGUUCGAAGAAUCACGUCUGGAGGAUACCAUAUCCUAGCCAAAAAUUUCCACCUCCCUCUAUAUGAGCACCUGGAUUAACCAUUGCAUAAAUCAUUAUCAUGAAUAAAUCACGUCGCUUCACUCAUGCAUACCAUUCAUCUAUCAUAGCAUGAAGCCGUGUGUGAGAAUCAAAGGAAUUAAAGCCCAGUAUUUUAUUGGCAUCUCCAAAUUCCAAACUUGCCUGGUACCUUUUUAAACCAUCUAGUUUGACAAUUCUUCCAAAAUCCAAUUUGCUUGGCGUCUUUUAAGCCCAGUUUGCUUGGUAUCUUUUUUCGACCUUUAGGGUCGAUGAUCCUCUUUUCCAACAUUCAUGGUUGAGGAACCUUUUUUCAAUCUUCAGGAUUGAUAACCUUUUUCCAAUCUUUAGGGUUGACGAUCUUUGUUUCUAACCUUCAUGGUUGUUGAAUCUUUUUCCCACCAUUAGGGUGAUGAUAGACUUUGUUUCCGGCCUUUAAGGUUGAUGAUCCUCUUGCUUUCAACCUUUGCGGUUGUUGAAUCUUCUUCCAACCAUCAUGGUUGUUGAAUCUUUUUCCUACCUUUGUGGUUGUUGAAAAUUUUUCCAAACCUUCUUGGUUGAUGAACUUUUUCAAUCUAUGUGAUUGACAAACUUUUUUCCAAACUGUAAGGUUGAUGACCUUUCUUUUUUUCAAACCUCUGUGUUUGACUUUGUUUCCAGUUUUUGAACUGAUGAUUCAUUUGUGAAACCCCUUGUUUGCAAGAAUAUUUUGGAACUUUCAUGCGCUCUUUGAUUAGCAUACAUGGCCACAUGUUUCAAAAAUGAUAAAAAAAAAUACAAUUUAGCAUGCAUAUCAUGAUCGUCAUUUGCCAUUAAUAUCCCCACAGUACAUCAAAAUCACCAGCAAAUAAACCCGUAAAAAAUCAAGUUGAUAUCCCUAUAUCUCAUACAAUUGUCCUUCAAGGAAAAAAAUUCGGAUACUUCGAUAUUUAAUCCACGCAUACCUUAAAAAGCUGAAAAGCUCUCGCAAUUCGACCAUUCAGGUCUAAGCUGAUUAAAUAGGGGCAGAUGUCGUAUCCUAAAUUUGUCCUCCCUAUUUCAUCUUUCCACUCAAUUUAUCAACUUGAGAUUCAUCUGUACCACAUUCAUAUUUCAUUCAUAUGCAUCAUUCAUUAAUCAUACAUUCAAAGCUUGUGGCCUGCAAAUCUAAGGUUUGUUGAUGGGACAUGGCUCUUCAUAGGCUCAUCAUGUGAGGGGAAACCCUAAUUUCAUACUCUUUUAGACUUUGAUUCAAAAAGGUUACAAUCACGACAUUCAUUUAGUCAUUCAAACCCUUAUUCCUGACUUUGUUGUCUUUCGGUCUCACAAGCUUUCACCUGUGUAUCAUGAAGCCCUAAUCAGGGAAGAUUUGGUCCGGUUGCACCUUAUGGCUUGACUUUUCAUCUUGUGUGUGCUGGAAACCCUAAUUCAUUAGGGAGAGGUGUUUGACUAUCCUAUUAUGCAUGCCUACUGGUUUGGAAUUGCACAUGAUUCAGGUCUUGUUUCAAGCAUCCCUAUGCCCAUCACAUUUAACUUUGCAUAGGCCAUUAACUCAAGUCUUUUGGUAUGGGCAAAUGCAUAGACCCAUAUGCCCGAUUCACUUCAUUCAUAUGAUGCAGAUGAUCAAGGAUGAUUGGUCCAUUUAAGAUUUGGUUCCAUUGGUUCAUUCUUUGUUUCUUAAGCAAAAUCAUUAUUUCAUUUGAAUUAUGUCAUGUGAAAACCCUAAUUCAAAUUUCACAGUUGACUUCGAUUAACUAGUUUACCAAAGUCAACCAUCCCUUUUUGAGUCCAUUAAACUUUUUCAUUAAUCAUUCACACUUAAUCACAUUUUUCGAGCUAUUUGAUGCAUCCAAUUCAUUCAAUUUUCAAAUGUAAUUUUGACCAUUCCAAACAUUUUAACCAUUCAAGGUUAACAAUUUAAGUUCUAUAAACCAUCUUCUUUUACAAUAUAUUUCCACUCAUAAACUUUCCAUAAGCAUUCAAAAUUUUCCAUCAUAAAUAUCAUUCAAUACAAUAAACUUGUCCAUGGUUCGCGCAUUUAAUCCUUUCUUUCCAUCAUUUAUUUGCAUUGCAAUUCUAUUCAUCCAAAGUAUCAAACUUUUCAUAAUCACCAAGUUCCAUUCCAAUACAUUCAAGUUUUACCUACAACUUUCCUUUACAAUUAUUACAAACCAUUGUUUUACAUUGUUACACUAUGUAUCAACCAUAUCCUACAUAACCAUAUUAACCAUUCCAAAUGAUCAAGCAAGAUAGAAUUUCAUUCACUAACCAUACAAGAUAUCUCAAGCAUACAUUUCCAUUUCAAGCUACAUUAUAAUGCAUCAUAAUCCAACAAUAUCAUGAAGCAGCCCAUGGCCUCUUAUGCAUUCACUAGAAAUAUUUCCAUAGCACAAAUUGGCCAUGUCCCAAAAGAUAAUGCACAAAAAAAGCAUGAAAUAUCAUGAUUCUGUUAGGCUCUGUUUUGAAAUUAUUUACCUGAUGAACAACAGACAUAAAUGCCGAUCGAGGUUAUAUGGAAGCUUCAAAUACUGAAAAAGAAAACACACCCAUUGCAUUGAUGGCUACAGCUCUUCCUUUGAAACGCCAUUGAAGCUUCAAUUCGUGGAGCUUAAACCACUGCACCUCUUCGACCUCACGCGGAAAACGCAACAACAGCAUAUGCUUAGAAGAACAGAGGGAGAGGAAUAAGAUUGCAGCAACAUAACAGAAAGAGUGAAGGAACAAAAUUGAGACGAAGAAAAAGGGAAGAGAUCGGUCAAUACCUGUUCGCAGUUGAAGCAUCAAAUUUGGUAAGUCCUUUUGAUUUUCUUUUCUUUCUGUUUAAGUCCGCGAGCACAAUGUUGGAUGGAAUCACAUGUCGAUGAGGUUGAACACAAUCCAUGAACUCUAUUAUCUGUUAGAAUUAGAAUAUUAGGUUAUUAAGUGACAAUUAGAAAUUGUGAUUUAAUUAGAAUUCUAGUAUUGAUAGAUUUUGGAUUUUCAUUAGAAUUAAUUAGAAAUUUUAGAAUUUAACUAGGGUUUUAGAAUCUAUUUUAGACUAAUUAGAUUUUCACAUAAUUAUAUAUAAUUAUAAUUAAUUAGUUUUUGAUUAAAUGUUGAUUAUUAGAAACUAUUUUCCUAAUUAAUCCAUUUAUGCAUAUUGACUAUUUUACCCUUUAGAGGUUAUGUUUGUCAUUUUAGCCAUAAGGACAUGUUCCUUUAGGUUUAGAUCUUGACAUCAAUUUUUAAUCAAGUCUUGACCAAUUAUAUCAUGAUCCCUUAGGAUAGUUUGUAACAAAUUCUAACCAUUAGAUUAGGAUUUAAUCUAGUUUUCAAACUAAUUCAAACCUUCUGAUUCAAAUUGAUCAAAAGCAAUUUUGAUCAAUUAAAUCAUUUGAUAUUGUAUAAUCCCACAGUCUAAUUUGAGUGACACAAAUACUCUUGGUCACCUAAUGAGACUUUUUCGGUAAGUUGUGGAGCUCGAGGCCUCAAGUCAUAUUUUCAAUCAAGGCAUCAUCGGUCAGACCAAGCAGUGGAUAAUACAAGGUACAUCAAAGGUGGCAUCUUUGAGAGCUUGUCAAAUCAAAGUUAUGAUUGUGUGGCAUGAGCCUUGAGUAAUGAAGAAAGAAUGAGACUGAAGAAUUCCUACCCCCAUCAACACAAAGGGCAUCAUGUCAGCAACUUGUUAAUUUUGAUUCAAGUUGCAUGCCAUGAGCCUUAAGAAACAAAGAAUGAUGAGAGUGGGGAAUUCCUAUCCUUGUCUAGAAUAUUCUUGGGUACGGGACGAAUGACCCAGUUGCUCAAAGUAUUCGCCUUUUUCCAUAGACUUUGGUGCAAUUUAAAUCAUGCAAUUGACAAGCCUUCUUCUUCAAGCAAGCAUCAAUCAUUCAACACUUCAAUAGUGAAACACCAUUACCCCCUUUAGUAUUGGACUUUCCUCCUGGAUGUUCAUACAUUUCUUGGGAUUAUUACCUUGGGGUCACAUACCCAUCUCGCAAUCAAUUGCUUCAUGCAUUGCCUAUCAGUUCACACUAUGGCAUACUUCAUUGCUUGCCCUCAACGUACAGACCCUGACAUUCAGCCUAUGGAGUACAUACUCUGGCUUUGUUUCUUCCCCAUAAGGUACAGACCUUGGCAACUUCUUGCAGCCCAUAGAGUAUAGACUCUGGCUUUAUUCCUUGCCUACAACAUACCGAUCUUGGCAUCCUUGCCCUAAUGAGUUCAGACUCUGGCCAUCUGAUUUUGUCUAUACAGUACUGACUUUGACAUAUUAUUAUGCCUUAUAGUUAAGACUUUGGAAUUCAUUCAUCCAGCCCAUUGGGUUCAGACUUUGGCAUCGUACUAUUUUGCCCUUAUGGAGUUCAGACUCUGGCAUUCAAAUCAGUUCAUUUGCCUUAUAUAGUUCAGACUAUGGCAUGCUUAUACAUCUUGCCCAUGGAGUUCAGACUCUGGCAACCUUUAACAUUGUCUUGAAGUCAGACUUUAGAAUUAUAUCUCCUUUUCCCUUAUUGAGUUCAGACUCUGAGAAUCUGUUCCUUGCCUUUGUAUUAGUUCAGACUAUGGAAUUCAUCUAUCUUGCCUUGUGGAGUUCAGACUCUGGCUAUAUCUCAUUUGUCCUUAUGGUUGAUUACCAUCUUUGGUAAGUGUCAUACUCUCGCUUAUUAAGCAAUCACCUUGCCUCUGAGCAAUCCUAUCAAAUCUCCCUUUGCUUUCAGUUGUAGUAGGCUAAACUACGAUUGCUCUGAUUUUCUCAUUGCACGAUGAGAAUACAUAGGCACAAGGGUUCAAAUCCUCCGUGAGCAUACUUAUUUAUUACUCCUACCUUAGGGCAUUUCUCCAUCCAUCUCCAUGAUACAGUCAUAUACUACCUUUAUUCACUUCAUGUGAUAUACCCUAUUCUUUGAGCCAAAUACAUUAUACCUUUGUGCUCCAUCUUGUACCCCUUUGUGAACCAAGAGAUGUUUCUGUUGUGAAACCAAAAUUAAUUUCCUUUGUUUUCGGCUAUACCAUAUAGUGGCGAAUGUUCAGACAAUCCAUAUAUCGGUUUAUUCCAGUUUUACUCUUGGGUUCACGCUUUCACCCCUUGUUGGGGUUCAAAAUAUUAUCCUCUGGUUCAGGCCAUACCUUGAUCACAACUUCCUUUUCAUCUCCCACCACUAGUUCUUUGAACUACGAAGUUAUGAAUUCCUCAUUGCACUAUGAGUAUACAUAGGCAUGAGGGCCCUAAUCCUCACCGAGCACUCUAUCUAUUUCUUUUCAUUUUCCCCAUUCUUUUGCGAGUAAUCUUUAGAUACAACACUCAUUCGAGCGAGAACAAUCAAAACGGUUCCCAUGGAGUACCAUAGAUGUUAGGGAUGCUAAUACCUUCCCAUUGCAUAAUCAACUUCCUUACCCAACAUAUCUCUUUCCCCUGGGUUUUAUCGAUGUGUUCGGGUAUAUUUCCGCUAGCUGCAUCACCAACUCCAAAAUCUCAAAAAAGUGUUUUUAAAGGAACUCGCAUUAGCAAACCACCUCCUUCACCGUCUCUACCAAAAAUUUCAUUCAUUGACGAGAUGUUAUUUUUUUCAUAAAUACAUCGAACAAAUCGUCAAUGUUGAGGGUGACGGUAAUUGCGAUUUUCGAGCUAUUUCGAUUUUGCUGGGUAAAGGAGAAGAUGAUCACACACUUGUCUGCCAUCAACUUAUCCAUGGUUGAGGACCCAUAUAGAAUUAUACACACGACUUUACCGAAAGAAACAAAAUUUUGAUGCAAUUUAUGAGUCUUUUAUUCCUUGCAUUAGUGGUCCGAAACCAGAGGAAAAAUGAAUGUGCUUCCCUGAAAUGAGUCAUCUCAUAGCAAGUGCAUCUGAUAAAGUGUGUAUUGGUCUUACAAGAUACGAUUUUUUGGAAACUUUUUUUCCACUGCGCACCACCCAACCUCAAAAUCUAAAUGAUCGUAUUUUGUGUAUUAGAAUACCUUUAAAAUUACGACACUUUGUUCAAAUUUAUUUGAAACGGGAUGUCGUAUACCACUUACAUCAGUGGAGUGGACAACUCAUUCAACAAUAAAAUCCGGGACUUAGACGGGCCAAUUUAUGGAAAAGAUGCAAGAGUUUACCAAAUUGAGCGACAUUGAAAGUGAAUAUAAUGCACAAAAGUCAAAGGGGGAACCACUCAUACUUAUAAAUUUAGCCAUCGACAAAUAUUUCGAUUCGUUUUAGUUUUUCGUUAUCAAUUAAUUGUAUAUAAUUUUGUAUUAAUAGUAAGGGUUAAUAACAUUUUUAUAGAAACAUUCUAGUUGUACCUUGGGGGGAAUGACCCAUGAUUGAUGCUUACGUGUCAUGAUAAAUAUCAUGAUAUAUUUUAGUUUUUAGUUUUUUAAUUACAUAUAUGCUUACGUGGACUUACAGUUUUUUAUUUAUGAAUUAUUUCUAUUUUCAUGUGAAAAUUUAUUUUCUUUUUCAUUUAUUUUAAUCAUAACAAUUAUCAAAACUACUUUAAGAAAGUUCUAAAAUUUUGUCAACAAUGAAAUUCUCAUACGGAUUUGGCAAGGAACUUUGAAAGGAGAUUUGAAAGCGUGAACCACAACCAUAGAUAGGAAGAAGGAGAAUUAGGGUUCAACAUAGUUUGAACCGUGUUUAUGUUUAUGUUAGGGACCGAUUCGGGCUAGACCCAAUCUAGGUUCGGUUGAUCCACUAACCAUUAGUUUUUUUUUUAAAUUAUUUUGUGAGUAUACCAUUUGUUGUUUGGCCUUACCUAUUUGUGACUUGGGCAAACCCCACUUUAGGAGCCAUCUUGUCUUAUUUAUUUAUUUAUUUUUGUCUUUUCCUCAACCUUUUUUAUUGCAUUAAUAUUUUAGUAAAAGAAUAUAUAAAAAACAUAAACUUUUUCAUGAAAAAAAAGGUGGUUUACAAUUUUAUAAUAAUUGAUUUUUAUUGUUAUUUCAAUUUUUUUAUCAAUAAAUAAAUAAAAGUAGACAAAAUUUGUUUGAUGCGUGCCUUAGGGUUUCUUUUUCCUAUCAAGCUAUAUCUCAAAAGAAGAAUAUUUCUUUAAGAAUUAUUCCUUUUUUUAAAAAUAAAUUUGAUUCCAUUAUGGUUUGAUUUGUUUGAUCUUUAUUGAUUGUGUGAAUGCUUGUAUUGUUCAUACUUGAUCCAUGAUUUAUGUAACCUUUCACUUAGACCUUCGAUUGUUAGUAAGAUAAAAGUAAAUGUGCAAUAAAAUCAACCUUUUAAAAUAAGAUUCAAACACUCUAUCGAUAUGAAUUUGGUUUUAAAAAGAUCUCACUAUUUUCACCAUCCAUUCAAAGUUAAUUUCAAGUCAUCUCACAAAUUAUUUUCAUGCUAACACGAAUAAACCCUCGAUCAACAUCGAGUUUCUUUUUUGCUUAUUAAAAACUUGAAAAUCAUUUUCAUAAUAAAUCAGUUGAAAAAGGAAUGGGAGGCGCACACAUCUCUACUCCUCGAAUAAGUGAGUGAUUGGUAGACUCCAUAUUGCUCUAACUUUCAUCUUCCGAAUAAAAUAUCCUAAAUAAACAUGGAUGAAAAAGGAAGAGAGGCGCACACAUCUCUACUCCUCGAAUAAGCAAGUGGAAGACACACACCUCGCUACUGCGAAUAUUUUUUCUUCCGCAAAUAAUUUUCAAAAUAUUAAAAUCAAACAAAAAAGGAAUGGGAGGCGCACAACUUGUUGCUCCUCGAAUAAGUGAGUGAUUGGUGCGCGCCAUAUUGCUCGAGCUUUCAUCGUCUUCCUACAAAACACUAAACCAAUCAAACCUAUUUUCUCGCCCCCUUCGUUCAUCCCAAGACGAUGUAAACACGCUUCAUUUCUACCAUGCGCAAGAAGUUAUAACUCUUUUCGCUCGAAUGUGACGAGAACAAAUUUGUGAGAAUCUGGAUUAUGUUAUUCAUUCUAAUGUGAUGCCAAUGUUCACUUCUCCAUGUUUUUAGUAGCAAAUAAUGUUUUCGCUCGAAUGCGACUAAGUACCUUUCGUAAAAACUGAUCAACAAACAAAAAAUUUCUACCCAGAACUACGUAGCCUUGAGUUUUUCAUCGCACCUGAGAUAUGUAGAAGCGAGACCCGUAAUCUCGUCAGGCACAUUAAUAAAAGAAAACAUUUUGCGACCCAUUUUGUUUUCUCUUUACACUUUUGACCACUCGAAGAAAACAUAUGACAUAAGCUAAAAUUUCAACCACAAAUCUAACUAAAUGGUUCCCGUUGAGUGUAACAGAUGUGAGGGGUGUUAAUCCCUUCCCCUCGCAUAAUCGACUCCCAAACCUGAAUUUGAUUGUGACAAACAUUUUCUUUUUCUUUUAAGGAUUUUAUCAAUAUUUCCCCUCCUUUUUGGAAUAAAUCAAUUUUGAUGGUGACUCUGUUAUCUUGACCAUGCAAGCGCUCAUGGUCAUUUUUCGCGUCGCGACACUACUGUACAAUAGUUAUCUGUAUCAAAAACUAAAAUAUUUGUGUCUGUAUCUUGUUGUCUAGGAUUGUUGGAAACGAGAAGGAUGGAAAAAUAAAGUGUGUUUAUUUUUCUAUGUUGUAAAAUCACAAGGUGGUUUUUCUUGGUGAUUAAGUUAGAAUCUUGUGUAUAGAAUCUAGGUUUAGGCUUGUACAAAAUAAUAACAAUAUUGAAAUCUCUUAUAGUGUCUAAGGGGACUGACAUACUCUCAGAUUGUGAUGGGAACUAGUAUGAUUUUCGAUGUUAUUUACUUUAUGCACUUUACUGCUUUCACCACCUAACCAUAAACCAAAAAAUAAAGAAACAUUCAUCUCUAAAAACAAUGUACUUACAGCGAGAGCAUGAUAUUCCGCUUCAGUACAUGAACAAGACACAAAAUUUUGUUUCUUUAAGCGCUAUGAAAUCAAGGAGUUACCCCAUAACACAUAAAUGCUAGUGUAUAUUUCCUAGUAUCCAGACAACGUGCCCAGUCGAAGUCAGCAAAACCAUGCAGCUUUAAGGAAUUAUUGCUGGCAAAAAAAUGCCUCGAGUAGGAAAUGCCUUCAGAUACUUCAAAACUCGAGUGGCUUCCUAACGGUGAGGAACCAAGGGGUUAGCCACAUAUUGGCUAAGGUGACGGACAAUAAAAGAAAUACUUGGCCGUGUGUUUGUAAGGUAAAGUAGCCUGCUAAUUAAUUUACAAUAUGAAGAAGGGUCCUCUAAAGGAGUACCUUCACUAGAUGAGAGCUUCAUGUGAGGAUCAAUAGGUGUGGAGACAAGCUAAGCCCCAAGAAAACCAGUGUCCUCAAGCAGCUAGAGCAUGUAUGUUCUCUGGCUGAGAAAGAUACCAGAAGUAGAACGUGCAAUUUUGAGGCCCAAGAAGUACCUUAGUUGACUGAGAUCUUUAAUGCAAAAUUGUUGAUGCAGGAAAGACUUUACUUGUUUAUUCCACAAUCGAGUCGCUUGUCAAGACAAUAUCAUCAAUGCACACUGAUAAGGAAGUGAAACCAUGAGGUGUGAUCUUGGUGUAUAAUGAGUGACCAACAACAGAUUGAGAGUAGCCUAAUGAAAUGAGAGCUGAAGAAAGCUUAGAAUGCCAUUGUCGACUGACCUGUUUCAGUCCAUACAAUGAUUUUUUUAAGUGUACAAACCUUGUUGGAUUCAAGAUUACCAUAGCCAAGAGGAAGAGACAUAUAUACUUCUUUAUUUAGGUCUCCAUGAAGGAAGGAGUUUUUAACGUCCAGUUGCUCAAGGUGCCAGUGUUUGACAGCUGCAAGAGAUAAAAGAACACGAACAAUAGUAAUUUUGGCAAUUGGGAAAAAAGUAUCAAAGUAAACUACAUGUUCUAAUUGAGUGUAACCCUUGGCUACCAACCGGUCCUUGCAUAUAUCAAUAGAGCCAUUGGCAUGGUACUUGACUUUGUAUAUCCAUUUACAACCAACUGGAGUUUUGCCUAGAGGAAGGUCCACAAUGGUCCAAGUUUGAUUGUCCUUAAGAGAUGCAAUUUCAGUAUCCAUGGCCUACUUCCAACAGUCAUGUUUAGAGGUAUGAAGAUAGGUUUUUGGUUUAAAUAUGGAUGAAAUAGAGCAACAAAAGGAUUUGUAAGUUGGAGAGCAUUUUUUAUAUGAUAUAAAGUUGGAGAUAUGGAAGGUAGUGGAAGAGGAGUUAUUUAUAGAGGCAUAUCUAUUUGAUGAAAGAAAGAGAUUACAAUAAUAGUCUUUGAGAAAACUAUGAGGGUGUUUGGUUCUCAUUGAUUUUUGAGUUAGUAGUGUGGAUUGGUUUUGGGGAAUGUCUGAGGGAGGGUUAGAAUUAUGUGGAUACAUGUUAUCAACUAAGGUAUCAUGAAGGAUGUUGGGUUCAAAGUCAAUAACACUAGGAUCUUGGGUACUUGGUGAUGGAUUAAAAGUAGUUUGAUAUGGACUUGAGGUACUAGAGUCAAUCAAAGUAGGUUGAUUGAGACUUGGAAGGUUAGGGAUAAGUCCUGUUUCAGAAGUAAUAGGAUAAUCAUAAGAAUUUGUGACUGGUGUGACAACAGUAGAAGGAGUGGACAUAUGAGGCUCAGGGGUCAGAGUGAGGGCCUGAGGUGUAACAUAGUCAAUGUCAUAGGUGAUGUCCAUCAAGCUAUGAAUAUAAGUAGGGAGAUUUGUGGCAUUACUUUUGAAUGGAAAGGUGGUUUCAUAAAAGAAAACAUUUAGAGAUAUGAAUAAGUUAUGAGACUGAAGGUCAUAGAGAAUAUAACCUUUAGUACCAUCUUUGAAACCAAGGAGAAUGGCUUUUCUAGCCCUACCAUUGAAUUUUGUUAUGUGGGUCUGUAAAGUUGUUGAAAAACAUAAACAAACAAAGACUUUCAAAUGAACAAUAAUAUAUUAAGUUUUGAAAAAGCAACUCGUAUGGAGAUUUUGACUGAAGUUGAGGACUAGGGAUCCUAUUAGUCUUGUGGACAACAUGUUGAAUACUGAAGUUCCAUAGGUUUAAAGGAAUAUGUGUUAAUGUUUUCUCUCAACCACCCCAUUUUGCUGUUUUUGUUAUAGUGGUGGUGGUGGUGUGUGUGUGGCGGGGGGGGGGGUGUUCUACACAAGAUUUAUGGCGACUUAUGCCUUUGGAAGGGAAAAAGGAACUAAGAGUUAGGAACUUUGAACCCUUAUAUGACCUAAAGCAUUUAAGAGUGGUUUUGAAUUUAUUUCCUAUUGAGGCAAUAAAAUGUAUUACACUUUGUUUUGUUUCAGAUUUUUCCUUAAUAAAAUGACCCAUGUAAACCUUGAAAAUCCAUCAAUAAGAGUUAAGAAAUAUUUAUAGCCUAAAAUAGAAUCAGUAGAAAAGGGCCCCCAUAAAUCAACAUGUAAAAGUUCAAAUGGAGCAUGAGUAUGAGUAAGACUAUUUAGAAAGGGGAAUUUCUUUUGUUUUGCAAAAUGAAACGAAUCACAAGGGUUCAUGUUAUUUUUACAAGGGAUGGGGGGAAAAUGUUUAGCCAUAGUUUUCAUACUGAAAUUAGAAAGGUGGCCUAGUCUUAGAUGCCAAAGUUCAAAGGAAUUAGAAAUAACAUAAUUACUAGUGGAAUAAACAUCACUAAUAUCUAUCACAUAGAGGCCUCUGUGCCAUUUAGUUGUACCAAGCAUUUGCUUUGGAUGGUUCUGCAAAAUAUGACACAAGUUUGAAGAAAAUUUCAGAUAGCAAUCAAUAUUGCUAGUCAAUUUUGUGACUAAGAUUAAAUUAACAUGAAAGUUAGGAAUAUAGUGAAAAUUGUAAAGAGUUAAGGAAAGGGAAAUGACAAUGUUUCUAGAUAUGCAGGCAGUCAUGUGAGAUUCAUUUGGUAAGGAGAUUAAGCUAUUGAUUAACUUAACUCACAAAGAAAGAGUCGCCACAACGCUUUUAUUAUUUCCAAAGAAAAUAGAAAAAGAACGAACCAAACCCAAAGAAGUUUAAAAAAAACUAAUAAAAACAAAGAUAAGGGUCCAGGGGUUGGUUAUGUACAGGGAAGAUACUAGCACCCUAAGCAUCUAUAGUACUCUACAGGAACAUCUUUGAAAAUAUGUGCAUUUAGAUUUAAAAUGGUGUUGUUUACAAAAGAUUAGGGAGAUGAAAAGAGAUUUUUUUUUUAUAAUUUUUGUGUUUGCCAAGACUUUCUGAACCUCGUGCCUACGUACCCAUAAAGUGCAAUGGCGAAUCAAAACCUCGUAGUUCGUGGUAAAAAUAACAAAGAUGUUUGCUUUGAUUCAUUUUUAAUGAAUUUUUUUUUGUCAUUUUAAGAAGAACAUUCAACUAGCCAUCCACAAGUAUGGGAACUUUGCAUCACCAUGAGAAGGACUCUAACUUGGAUAAAUAUCAACUAGCUCUCUUAUAUAGAAAAGAAUUAUUAUCAAUACUAUGGGGAUAGAAAAAUUAUAUAUCAACUAUGGAAAUGACUCGUGUCUAAACUUUGAGAAAAAAGUUUUAAAAAGGAAAAAAAAAAGUGCACAAAGGGCACAAAAAGGUUUGAAUGAGUUAUGCAUUUUUAGUUUUUUGAAAUUGGUUUGAAUAUGAUUAAGAUGUAUUAGAAUUUAUUAAUAAAAGAUUUUGAAAAGAAAUCACUUGAAAAAAGUCAAGGUUUAUUGAGGAAGUAGUUCAAGUUUGAAAACAAGAAUGUUUUGAAAAAAAGAGAGAAGAUUUUGAAAAUCAAAGAAGGGGAGGAGAGGAAGAGAUUAUCCUAGAACAUAAAGUAAAAGCUAUGGAGGAAAGAUCCAACCAAGAGAUAACAACAAGAAUUCACUCCUUUGGAUUAAGCCUUAAGCAAGUCAAAUAAGCAAAGAAUAUUCCAUGUAUCAGAUGAAACCAAAGUAGCCAAGCAAAAUCUUCAAAAGAAUCUCAAAGUCAAAGGUAGCAGAUGAAUCUCAAGGUCUCAAAUCAGAAACUCCCAAAAGAUAAACAAGUAUGCCACUAGUUCUCUUAGAUGGAAAAUAAUUAUCAUCAAUACUAUGGGUAUAGAAUAAUUACAUCUCAACUAUGGAAAUGACUCAUGUCUAAACUUUGAGAAAAAGUUUUAAAAGAAAAAGUGCACAAAGGGCACAAAAUAGUUUGAAUGAGUAAUGUAUUUUUUAAGUCUUUUGAAAUUGGUUUAAAUGUGCUUAAUAUUUAUUAGCAUUUAUUAAGAAAAUAUUUUGAAAAUCACUUGACAAAAGUCAAGGUUUAUUGAGAAAGUGAUUCAAGUUUGAAAACAAGAAGGUUCUUGAAAAAAAAAGAGAAGAUUUUGAAAAUUAAAGAAGGGGAGGAGCUAAGAAGAUUAUCCUAAAACAUAAAGUAAAAGUUAGGGUGAAAAAUCUAACUAAGAGAUAGCAAGCUUUAUGACAUGUGUUAAGUAAGAACACUCUCCUUUGGAUUAAGCUUCAAGCAAGUCAAACAAGCAAAGAAAAAUCCAUGUGUCAGAUGAAACCAAAGUAACCAAGGAAAUUAUUUAAAGUAAUCCCAAAGUCAAAGGUACCAGAUGAAUCCCAAGGUCUCAAACUAUAAACUCCCAAACAAGGGUCAAAAUUCUAGUUCUAACUCCGUAACUCCAUAAUAAUCCCAAUGAUAGUAACCUCAAGUCCAUGAAUUAAGAGAACCAAUUUUUAGGGGUUUUUUCCUUUAUUAAUGUAUUUAAAAGAAAAAGAAGUCUAAAUGGACAAAGAAAAAAAGGCAUAAACAUAAACAAAGGUCCAAGUGGACAAAUAGAAAAUAGCAUAAAUACAAACAAUAUGAUAUGCGAUGCUAAAAUAAAAUCAUAAAGUUAAUAACAAGAAAUAAAUGGCAAAAAAAUAAAGAGCAUAAGAUAAAUGGCAUUAAAGUAAAUUUAAUAUAAUAAUAUGUUAGUAAGUUGUGUUAGUAAUAAAAAAUUGAAAGAUAAUUUAUCAUUUUUGGGAGAAUACUCAACUAUUCGCCCACAAGUAUGAAAAUGUGGACCUCUACAUCACCAUGAGAAAGACUCCAACUUGGAUAAAAUCAAUAAGUAUGCCACUAGUUUUAUUAGGUGAAAAGGAAACAAUAUUUUUCACACAAUACCAUGGGGAGUAGGAGACUUACAAUCUCACUUAUGAAAAUGACUUACUUUCGGAUUCAGGAUAAAUUUAACGUUAUGUUAAGCAAUCGUAAUUGGACUCAUGUUGAAGUCACAACUAUCUGAGCCCGGUCAAUAAUAAUAUUUAUGUUAAUACAUGCUAGAGAAAUUAUAUGUAAAUCAUUCUCCUAAAGAUAUGCCACACAAAAAAAGGAUGGAUCAAGCACAAAUGUUAAGAGAGUUGUUCAUUACAUCAAUCAAUACUUCAUGAUACUUAGGACAAGCUUAUGCAUCAAUCUAAAGUACCUUAAAUAUUCUAUGAUCAAUUAGGAGGUAGAUUUGAAGUGAUGAAAGUUCAUCAAGUACCAAUUCAUACAUCAUAAACAAGAUGAACACAAACCAUCCAAUUGAUCAAGAGAAAAAAGGAAGCGAAAGAGAUUAAGAAGAAGAAGAAGACGAGAGAAACCAAACUCAAAUUGGAUCAAAGGAUUGAUCAAGUCAUCAUCAAAAUCAAUCAUCCAUCUUGGUAGAUUUGGGUUUUCACCCCAUCAACACCGAAGAUCCAUUGAAUUUGAUGAGAUUUAUGAUCAAAAUAGCCAAGAUCCAAGGUCAACAGAAGUCAACAAAGGUCAAACAAGCAUAAAAUGAAAGAAAAUAAAAUAAAAUGCAUCAAAAAUAUUUUUUAAAUGAAUUUUAAAAGGCAAAUAAAACAAAAAAUUCCAUAAAACCCUUUAAAAUACCAAAUAAAUGGCCAAGAAAAUUAUGGAAGGUUGAAGAUAAAAUAAGGAACAUAAAAUAAAUUUUUCAAAUAUUUUUAAUGCAUAAAAGUAUUUUUAAACUAAUUAAAAAAAGGGGAAAAAGAGGAAAUCCAAGAAAAUAAAAUAUGGAAAAAUAAAAAUCAGAUGAAGAAAAAAAAAAGAAAAUUUUAGAAAAUAUUUUGGGAUUUUUUGGAUAAAAAAUGAAUUUUCUAUAAAUUUUUAAAGAAAAUGCAAUUUAAAAUAAAAAAUAAAAAGAAAUAAAAAACAGAAAAAAAUAGAGGCAUUGGAUCUGACCUCAUUAAUUGACGUGGCAAAUCCAACAACUAUCAGGCUAGGGCGCAUGGUGGAAAAUAGUUAGAAUAAAACAUGGAAUCACAUUCAAAAUGGACCAAUCAAAACAUUUCAAAAUGCCAACGUGGAUAGCCAACUCAGAUGGCCUGAAACAAAUCCAUUCAUCUUCUUCGGUAAUCCCUCAUCGGAGUUUCAUCAUUUGACAAAGUAAGAACAUGAGACUACCACCAAUGUGAUCGUCUCCUCAUCACGAAUUCAACCUAAUGCUCAAAAUUAAUUUAUCUAAAUUGAGUAUGGAGAAUUUCAGAGAAGUUUUAGAAACAAGCAAGUCACAAAAAGUAAAAUUAAAUGAUGAACAUUAUCACUCAACACCAGAUAAGUUAGGGGAAAGCAUAAGAGGGUGAAGGACUACAUUGUGGUAACUCGUUUGAGUUCAAAUGAUGCUCAAAACUACCUUGUCCAAAUGUAGAUCGGAGGUUGAAGAAGCUUGAUCUGGUCAGGGCACUUCAGAAGGUCUUACAGAUUGAGAAUUAUUGCAAAAUCUUCAUAGGAGACUGAAAGUUUUAAUUGAAUCAAGAAAUUGAACUGAAACAAGCUAGAAAUCAAACACGAUAGCUCAAUUUUCUAGAAAUGUUUAAUAGUGGAGCAGGGGUUUUUUAGCUCUCCAAAGCUUGGGAAUAAGGCAAAUAUAUUGCUCUAUUUAUAGGGAAGUGAUUGGUGAUCUCAUACGUGCCAAAUGAUGCUUAAUUCGUGCAAAACAAAUUUGCUCAUGAUGUGAGAAAAGUGUGACUUGUAAAACCAUCAAAACUCAGCCAAAUUAUGCAUUAAAUGAUUCAUUUAACUUUUGAAGACUUGAUUAAUCAUGUUUAGGUCCAAAACGUGUGGUAAAUUGGCUUGUAAUUAAGGAUUAGUGAAGUUCAAAAUUCUGAACAUGGUGAUUUCUUCAGUUCCAAGUUACCAUGUUUAAUUCAAUGGGGCAUCUUGCCUAGGAGGCUUUUUGAUCUCAUUUUUCUUGCAAUUUUUGGACAUCAUAUCAAAGAUUACAAUGUGCCAAGAAAGGUUGCAUUUGGAUGCUUGAGCAGAAGUUUAUGGCAUGUUAAAGUUGGCACAAAAAUUUGGUUAUGCAACUUGGAAAAUUCUAAGUCCCAGAUGGCUAAAAAUGACCCAUAAUGUCUCAAAGAAUUCCAUGGUCUUCCAAGCAUAAUUUGACUUUGAUCCUUGAAGAAAACUUGUAGAGGGCAUCACAAAUGAUAUUAUUCAAAAAGAAUCAGCGUCAAAUGUUGGAAAUUGAAGAAGUUAUAAUCCUUGAAAGUUGAGAAAAAGUCACUUGAAAAUAGGUCAAAUUUCACUAGGUCCACAAAUGACCUAUAAUGUCUUCAAACUUUUGAUGAUCCUCCAUGCAUAAUUGGAUCUUGUAAUGUAAAGAGAAGUUAUAGAGGAUAUUUAGAAGAGUCAUAUGCAAAAAGAAACAUUCAAAAAUAUUGAGGAUUGAAGGAAUUGUGAACCUUGGAACUUUGACUUCAAAUGUUGAAUUUUUGGUCAAACCUCUUGGAAUAAACUUGUGUACUUGGACUUUUAUUGCAUUUCAAGGUACAUGGAUGAUCAUAUGAACUAAAAAUAAGGUGUCCUUAAAUUUAUUUUUAUUAAAUUUCUUAAAGUUUGAGGUAACAUAUUGAAGAAGGCAUGGAAAUAAACACAUGAACCUUUGCCUUUUCUUGAGACCGAUUAUCCACUUUUGUGUAACCGAUUACAAGCGCAAUAUUUUGAUUUUUCCUGCUAUUUUACUUGGUCAAUUCAGUUCCCAAUUGUGUUGUAUCUCUUGUAUAAGUGUUUAGAAUGCACACUCAUCUAAGGUUAAUGCAAUAAUAAUCUCUCACCCUUAAUUCUCCUCUUUCACACUCUACAUCCAAAGUAUCUCCACCAUUGUUCAUCAAACUUGUUGUGUCUUGUUCCAACAUUUGACAUCAAGAGUCUGGUUCAGAUCCACAAACACCUAGUGUGCAACAUGAAUUAUGUUUCCAAUGAAAGAAUCCCUGCAAACCUACAUAUCCUUGAUGCGAAGAAUUAUGAUAAAUGGUGCAAGAAAAUGAAGAUGUUGUUUGGCUACCAAAAUGUUCUUAAAGUAAUCAAGAAUGGUGUUAGCCCUCUUGUUCAAAAUGCAACAGAGGUGCAAAAAGAAACACAUAAGAAAGAGAAGAAGAAAUACUUCAAAGUGUUAUUCUUGAUCCAUCAAUGUGUUGAUGGCGACAAUUUUAAGAAAGUUGGUGAUUGCGAAUCGUCAAAGCAAGUGUGAGAGAUCUUAGAAAAGACAUGUGGAUGGGUUGACAAGGAAAAGGUGGCGAGGUUACAAACUUACAAACACCAGUUUGAAUUGAUUCAAAUGGAGGAAAAGGAGACAAUAAACUAUUUUGCAAUGAGAAUCACCCGGUUGGUGAAUCAAGUGAAGGCAUGCAAAGAAACUGUUACAAAGCAGUAUGUUGUCGCUAAAUCUUGCAUUCUUUAACACUAAGAUUUGACAAUAUAGUUGUGGCGAUUGAGGAGUCAAAGGAUCUCACGAUGAUGAGUAAAGAGAAGCUGCAAAGUUCUCUCGAGGCUCAUGAUAAAAGGAUGGAAGAGAGGAAUAACGUUAAGGCAAAGGCGGAGAUCGCUUUGCAAGCUCGUUUCAAUGAGAAGGACAAGAGAUCGAAAGGAAAAUGGCCCAAGAAAAGAAAAGGGAAUUUUCAUAAUUUUGGUGGAAGAGAGUCCUAAAAUUCAAAUAAUUUUACUUGUCAAAGGGGUGAGAGCAUCUUCAACAAACAUGGUGGUCAAGGCAACUUUAGAGGUAGAAGGAAGAGGUUUGACAAGAGCAAGGAGUAGUGCUAUAAGUAUCAAUGGUUUGGCCAGUUUGCAAAAGAAUGCAAUUUGAACAAGAAGGAAUCUCAAGGGGAUGAAGCCAAGGUUGCAAGAUAAGAGUUUGAUAAAGAGAAUACAUUUUUGGUCAUGAUCAAAGAAGGGAAUUGUAGCAGCAAACAACUGCGGGACAACAACUACAACAACUCAACGAAUGCUGAAUAGGUUGGUUGAAUGAUACGAUUAACCAAUUGCAUGAAGAGGAAGACGCCAUGAUGAGUUUGAAAGGAGUUCAAUGCAGUGAGGAGUGGUAUUUGGACUUGGUUUGUUCAACUCAUAUAACGGGAAUAAAGGAUUGGUGUGCCAAAAUCAAUUGUGCCAUGAAGAACAAAGUAAAGUUCGCGGAUGACACCACUCUAAUAUUCAAUGGGAUCAGUGAUGUUUUAAUCAUGAGAAGGGAUAAUGGACAUUCCUUGACCAUAAAUUCUUGUACAUUUAGGGAAUCAAAUGUAACCUUCUGAGUAUUGGCCAAUUUCUUGAGAAGGGUUAUAAGAUUCACAUGGAAGACAAGGGGUUGCGGGUUAUGGAUGUAAGAUGAGUCUUGGUCCUUAAAGCGCAUAUGGAUGCCAAUAAAACCUUUAAGGUUGAGUUGAAGGUUAUAGAGCAUAAAUAUCUUGCUACUGUAACAAGUAGACAAUAUUGGAUUUGGCACUAUCGUCUUAGGUAUCUCAACUUUAGAGAUUUCAAAGACUUUCAAAAGAACAGAAUGGUAACGGGGCUGCCAUCGAUCAACAUACUAGCUGAAAUUUAUGAAGAAUGUAUGCAAGCGAAGCAACAUAUGGGAAAAUUAAGAAAGUAGAUUCUAUUGGUGGCAAUAUGUAUUUUUUCACAUUUAUCGAUGAUCAUAGUACGAAGCUAUGGACAUACCUAAUCAAGAGAAAUGACGAUGUAUUUGAUGAUUGUUUGUCAUUGCAUAUAUUUAAUCGAAGAAUCAAAGAAAAAUAAGUGAAAUUUGAGAUAAAAUGAAGAAGAAUGAGGAAAAAAUAGCUAAGUGUGAAAAUUGUGGACUUAUUGAAAAUUUGAGUGAAAAGGGGAGCAAAACCGUGCAACCACGGGAAUAAUCACGCGCACCAUCACAUAGCAUCGUGCACGCGAUGGGGUCUUUAAAGCAGCAUUACACGCGCGAUACAAGGAAUCACGCGCGUGAUAAGUACUUUUUAUGGGCUUUUUAGACACGUUCUAGUCCAUUCUAACGCCUUUAAAAGAGGAUUUUCUGCACUUUCACAAGGGUUACAAAAUUGGGAGAUCUAGGCACGAUUUUGAGAGCACAAGUGGUGAUUUUUAUAGCAUUGGAAGCUAUUGGAGGCCAUUACUUCAACGUAUUUCACAUGUUAUUUUCAUCUAUCAAUUAUGGCAUUUUUAAUUGCAUUAUGAGUAGCUAAGCUCUUUUAUAUUAGGUUGUGUUAUGAUGAACCUAUUUCUAUAUUGUUGGAAUCUAUGUUGAUUUAACCAUUCUAAGAACCGUUUGAACUAUAAUUCCAUUCAAUUGCUUUUUGUUCAUAAUUCCUUUUAUGUGAGAUACUCUUUUAAUCUGAUUUUGGGCACAUAGGGAAUAUUGACUAUUAGUCUAUGUGUUGGACCUAGGGAAAUUGUUGUACUUACGCUGGUUGAAUAGGAAUAGGAGACCCUGAGUAGUGGCAUAGAGAAUUAAUGUUUUAUACAUCACCUAACCUUGCUUACGCUGGCAGACUAGGGAUAGAAAGCUCUGAGUAGUGGUUAGUGAGUUAUUUCGCGAGGGAUCAGCUAUAACGGUUUUGUUAAUUCGAUGUGGUGUUAUAGUGAUAAGACCAUUCGUAAAAGAUAUAAAACAUCAACAAUAGAGGAAUAGGGGAUUCUAGAACACAAUAUGCUCGUUUUCGUGAUAUUGUUUAAUUGUUUAUUUACUUUUCGCACUGAAACUCGAAAACCCCCCUUUUUACUAGUUUUCUAUAAAUUGCACACAUUUUGUCUUGCCUGAAGGAAAUUCAUGUGGAUUCGAUCUUUUUAUUACUUCGACAAUAUCAAUACACUUAUCGAGAAAUCAUUAAGUUUUUGGCGUCGUUGCCAGGGACUGUUGAUUUUUCAACAAGGCGAUGUUUGUGCAAUUUUUAUUUUUAUUUUUUUAGUCUUUUAGUUUUUUUUUUCUUUUUCUUGUUUAUCAUAGUGCUAUUGAGGUAUUUUUUGUUUGUGUAUGCACAAUUUAGGAUCAACAUUAAUACCAUUGGUUCUAGAAAUUGAAAGAACUACACGUGCUCUCAGAAAAGCAGUUAGAGAAGCAGCUCUGAAAGGAGGAAUACUAGAAGAAGAGCAACUAUCAAAUUCUUCUGACUCUGAAGAAGAAGCUGUAAUGGAAGCUGCACAACCCCUAACUAUGGGGCAUUAUUAUAAAUUAACCGAUGAAGGACACUUAUCAAGAGGGUUUGUGCUGGUAGACCCUGCUAACUUUGAUAUUAAAAAUUAUGUGCUUUAAGGUUUGAGAGAAAAUUCGUUUGAUGGGAACACGAUUAGAGACCCAUGGGUGCAUCUUACACACUUUUAUGAAAUAACUUAAAUGUGCAAACCAACUGAUGCCACUGAAGAGCAGGUUAAAUUGAGGUUGUUUGGGUUCUCACUAAUUGGAAGGGAGAAAGAUUGGUUACUUUGCCUUCCGAAUAAAACGAUACAUACUUGGAAGGAAUUAAAGGAUAAAUUCCUCGAAAUAUUUUUCAUUACUACUCAGUUUACCGAGCGCUAAGCAGAAAUUGUGAAUUUUGUGCAGCAGGAAACUGAGUCACUUUAUGACUCUUGAGAAAGAUUCAAAUUUUUGUUACGCAGAUGCCUGAAUCACAACAUGAAUAAUAUGGUGCAGAUGUAAAACUUCAUUAAAGGUCUCAAGAGUCAAACUCACAUGUUAUUGGAUGCUUCUACGAGAGGUACUAUCUGAAAAAUGAAUGAACCACGGGUAAAAGAUCUCAUUAAGAAGAUGUGUAUGAAGGAGUACCGAUCCAAGAAUGAAAGGUCGGUCAAGAUGGGAAUUGUGGGCACGCCUAAAGGUAUGUUACCUAUUGAUACCCACACUGCUCUUUUAGCUCAGAUUGAAUUAUUAAAUAAAAAUCUAGUUGGAAGCAGCUUAGUUAAAGCUAAUGUAGGCUAGGUACAAGCACUUGGGUGCGAUUUAUGUAGAAGAGAACAUGCGAAUGAAAGGUGUUCAUUGGAAGAGACAAGUGAGGAGGUCCAAUUUGCUAAUUUUUUAAAAAAUAACUUGUAUUCAAACACAUACAAUCUGGGUUGAAAAGACCAUCCAAAAUUCCGUUGGAAUAAUAAUCAAAAUUCAAAUGCUAACUAAGGGAUGCAACAAAGUCAACAAGCUCUGUUUCAAAGGAAUCCCAUCACAGUUGGUAGAGACCUCACAAAAUUUCAUUAAGGUCACUCAAAGUAGAUUUGAUAGGGUAAAGAAGACCCAUGAAUAAAUGAGUAGAAACUAGGAUGCGUCUAUCAAAAUUUUGGAGAUGAAGAUUGGUUAAUUAUCUAGAAAAGUAGCUACUUUGUCAAGCUCAAGUGGAGGAUUCACCAGUAACACCGUUGAUAACCAUAAGAAUGAUAACCCUAAAUAUAGGUUUAAGGGCAAUUACUGAAAAGGAUAAGGAUGAGAUAGUUAAACAAUGUGUGGUUAAGGCAUAUGAGGGUACCUGUAGCACCUCAAAUUUGCACCCCCCAUUCAUGCAUUCAUUUCAUUUUUUAGGUCAUUUAUCAUUCCAUAUUGCAUUGCAUUUUGGCAGUCAGCAUUGGCAUCAAGAGAUUCAUCAGUACAAAAGAGAAAGUUUUUUCUUGAGAUGAAGGCCAAAUGAUUAUACUAAAGAGCUUAUAUGAGCCCAGGUUCAUUUUGAAGCAAAGUUACCAAGUGGUAGAGGCCCAAACUCAUCAGUGCACUUCCAGGUCAUCUGAGGCCCAUACAAGUCAACUAUGCAGUCAACUAAGGGCUUUGAGUUGGGGAAAUGGUUUGAGACACUUCAUUCAUGUCCAAAAGAGGCUUUUUCAUCAUGUCAAACAUCUACCUUGAAGAUUUUGAAGUCAAAUCAAAAGUUUCCAAAAAUGGAAAGUGACCUGUAAUUCAAAGUUUCCAAAAAUGGCAAGUUUUUAGACCACAUUCAACUUGACUUUCCAACAUCAAAUAAGCUUCAAAUGAAUUUUUGGUCAACAUGAAAGUUGAAGAUAUUUCUCUCCUAUUUCCAAAAAGUCCAAGAGUAUGAGUAUCUGAUGAAUGGUUGAGAAGUUAUGAACAAAUGAUUGCAAAGUAUGCAUGGAACUUCAAAGUGCCAUAACUUUUGAUCCAAAACUCCAAAUUGAGCCACUCUUUUUGCAAAAUGCUUGUAUUGACCAAUAUUUUCCAAAUCAAACAUUGCAUUGCAUGAAAUUAACUCACAUGAUCAUUUGUCCAUGCAUGUAUAUUUUGGAGGGAAAAUGGAUAAUUCAAAUUCUAUUGAUCAUACAUGAAAAAUUCCUAUGCCAUUGUGAUCUUUGGAUGAUUUUAAGUGACUUUUAACCAUGCAUGUGCACUGUUCACGUGUAAAAUCUCCAUGCACCACACAUUUACCAUUUUUGCAUUACACCUCAUUUCUCAUUAAGUUUCCAUUAGCCAAGCCUAAUUGUGAUUAGCAUGAUAAUUAACAUGUGAUAUAAAUAGAUAAUCCUAACUGAAUUGGAUGAGAUUACACAUUCUAGAUCUAGAAAUUGGAUUUCCCUCCAAAAAUUCUCUCAAUUCAAACAUCAAAUUUCUACACAUAACUCAUGAAUUUUCUUGCAUAAUUGUGUUCAUCUUGCAUCAUUGAGUAAGAAUCAAGGCCUGGACUGAAGGAUUUGGUGCAGAGUCGAGCUCCACGAAUGCAUGAAAAUGAAGAAGGUUUUCUGAAUUUGAGCUUCAUUUAGGUAGUUUCAAUUGCUAUUCCUUCCAUAAAGCUUCACCUCAAGGUUGAUAGAGGAGACCUGGAGCUGGAGGAGGCUUGAAUCCACGAAAUCAUCGCACUGUUCUUCAAGAAGGUUAAAAUUUGAAUCUCAUUAUUUGCCAUUUUAUGCACAUGAUCUUGUAGGUCGUGCUCCACUGAUGAUUCUGAUAUGAAUAUUAUUGAUUUUGGCUGGAUAUUGAGUGAGUUAUGAUGAAUUAAAGUUUGUAUGCUAAAUUUGUUCUUGCUCGAUCCAUGAGAUAUGUGAUGAUUUAGAGUGAAUUAGGCAUGGAUUUGGAAUGUACGUUAUGCAAGCUUUCGAUCCAUAUCAUUUUUGCAUGAUUCUAGAAUUUUUUUGAUGCACCUUCAUCGGCGUACCACCGGAGAAGAUGACCGAAAGUACUAUUCCGGUCAUCUGGUUCAUGAGCUAGGGUUUUAAUGUGCGCACCUGUAACCAUGCAAGCCCCAGUUCGAUCCUUGGCAACUGUUAUUUUAAAAUCCAUUUAUUUUCUCCCUAUGAUCCAAACGUUGCGUUUUGCUCUAGCGCCCUUGUGAACAAGCCUUGCCUCUGUUCGAUUCUUGGCCUGGCAAUUAUCCCAAUUGAUUUUAUUGAGCGCGCCUAUGACCCUAUAGUCCUCAGUUCGAUUCAGGCGCUUUGCAUUUUUUCUUUUAUUUUCAAUUGAAGCGCUGCCUUGGACCUUUGUGUCCUGAGUUCAAUCCCUGACCAAGUAUUUUUCAUCUUUUAAUUCACAUUUCAUUUUUUCACAUGAUUGUUGUGAUGUCUAUUAUUUUUUGAUGUGAUUUUCCUAAUUUUUGUAUUUCUGGAAUUUUAAAUGUGUUUGUGUGAUUGAACAUGAUGCAAAUAUGACAUGUUAUGCUAAAUGUUUUAUGAAAUGCUCAUAUUUUAUCCAAUUGCCUUGAAAUUUGACAUGCUUGAUCUAUACAUGUGACAUGAUUUUUGAGCUUUUGUUUGGCAUUUUUAGCACAUUCCAUCACUGUUUGGGACACAUGAACAUAUGAUGUAGCAUUUGGUGUCACAUUCUUGACCUUGCUUGUGUUCAUUUUCAUUUGCAUGUCAUUUGAUAUCUUCUGGACCUAAUUCUUUGCAUGAUGCUUGUGUUUAAAAUUUUGAUCUCACAUAAAAAAUUUCAUGAUCAUUGGAUGCAUUUCUGUUUUAAUGUGGAUUUUCUACCUUUUUCUUGCCUUGUGUAGAUGAUGAAUAAGCACCACUGUUGAUUGACUGUUUGGUUUGUCUGAAUGUGAUAUUGACUGUUUGACUUUUGUACAGGUACAUUAGUCGCUUUUAGCUCUCGCUUGAGCUUUGCUUUGGUUGUGGUUGAUAUACCACCUAGGUAAUCACUCUAACUCCAUGUAGUCUGGAAGCCCUGUCGUUUCUUUUGGCAUGCAUUUGGUUGAAGUCCUCCUUAAGAGGCAAUGACUGUGUUUAUUUAUAUUUAUGCCAAAGACCUCCUUGUCGAGGCAUGUUACUUGUUAAGUCCUCCUAAGUGAAGAGGCAAUUGACAGAUGGAAAGGAUUAGCAAUCAAUCCCCUGUUAUUCGUUGAAUCGUUCAUUAUGCUCGCACUAUAUGCUGAUGCUCUUGAACCUAACCCAAGAUCCUUGUAUAUAGAGUCAGUCAAGUGGAAUAGGGUCCCUCUUUCUGGAUCCCCAGGUUUUCAUUGAUUUGAGCUCACCCAGGCCAGGGUUAAGAGCAUGAGGUCUUAUCCUCAUUACCUUUCAUCAGCUUCACCCUAACUCUCAAUGUUAGUGGUUAAGAGCUUCAGCACACCCCUACAGUUUUGGCUUGUUUGUCGAGGUUGAUAUGACCCCUUGACUAAAGCCUUACCCUCAGAUGUUUGAGCCCCUUGUUGGCGUGUUUACUUCAUGUAUAUGUUUUUGUGUGGUGUGAUUGUAUCCCCAUAGGAUUGCUAGACUUCGUAUAGUCUCUCGUUUGCAUGUCAAUUAAGGUAGCAUGGUUCCUUCGUCUAGGACUUCCUUUCUUGCGUGAGCAUUCCUAAAACACAAACAAACUUUAUCUUCUCUUAAGGACACGUUGACUCCUUCUACUACAGGUGAGUAAGUCUCCAAAGGUCGAGCAUCCAUCUAGGACUUCCUUUCUUGCGUGAGCAUUCCUAAAACACAAACAAACUUUAUCUUCUCUUAAGGACACGUUGACUCCUUCUACUACAGGUGAGUAAGUCUCCAAAGGUCGAGCAUCCGGUAGAUUGCAUAGUAACGUUGUUCACCUAAAAAACACAACAAACAGAAAUAGUUUAGCCGAACUACGACAACUCUGAUUCUCAUGUUCAGAUGAGAUACGUAGGCAUGAGAUGCGAUGUCUUGUCGAGUUUGACUGACGACUAACAUUAAUCCUUGCUAGUUUUCAUCCUCGUUGCGAUUCUUUUCUCUCGCCCUCGUUGCGAUUGAGACCUUCCUUUUCUCUUGCCCUAGUUGCAAUCGAGACCCUUCUUCUUUUCGUGUGUGUUUGUUAGGAGUCGGAUAUAAGUCCAUCUAUUGGCAUUCUGUUUCCUGUUUGCGUGUGUGUUUGUUAGGAGUUGGAUGUAAGUCCAUUUAUUGGCAUUCUGUUUCCUUGUGUGUUUGUUCGGAGUCGGAUGUAAGUCCAUCUAUUGGCACUCUGUUUCCUGUUUGUAUUUCCUUGUUAGGAGUUGGAUGUAAGUCCAUUUAUUGGCAUUCCGUUUCCUUUGAGUGUUCUUUUGACGUCUCAGCGUCUCUUUUCAGUGUUUUGUUUCGGCGUGCGUUAGCCGAGCUACGAGUGCUCUGAUUCUUCCUCUGGUUAGAGAAGAUACGUAUGCAUAGGAUGCGAUGUCCUAGCGAGCACGUCUCCCAUUUCCCCGAACUACGUCGACUCUGAUGUUUGUUUCUGACAAACUACGUAGGCCCAGGAUGCGACAUCCUGCCGAGUCUGCUUUCUCCGUCUCCUCUUCCGCCUGUUUAUUAUUCCAUUGCGUGCAGUCUUUGAGCAGUUUUAUUAGCAACCUUAUUCUUUCCUUCUGAGCGUGGAUCCCAUCGAGUACGACGGACGUGAGGGGUGCUAAUACCUUCCCCUUGCGUAACCGACUCCCGUACCUAGCAAUCUUUGUUCGUAAGACCAUUCCUUUCCCUUUUUCAGGUUUACUUCGAGGGUUUCCUUUCCCUCCUUUGGGAUAAAUAACGCACGGUGGCGGCUCUGUGUCUUUUCCCGCCGGUUGUUUUUCGCGAUGCGACAGUACCAAUCAAGGUGACCAAGAGGAAAGAGGAGUCACCAUUGAUCAACUUAUAGACAAAAAUUCUCCUUGGAGGAGAACAAAGAGGCAUAUCUUGACUGAACCAAAUCCUCCUUUACCAGAUUACGUAAAACCACCGUAGCCGAUAAUUAAAAAGAAAUUGGUUCAAGAUGAUGAAGCGGGAAUGUUUGCAAAGUUCAAGGAAGUUCUAGCUACUCUCCAGGAAAGUAUUUCAUUCCAUGAAAUUUUAGAACUAAUGCCUAAGUUUGUUAAAUUUAUGAAGGCGUUUCUAAAUGGGACGGAAGAGAAAUGAAUCAAGGAACAUGUAAACAUGACCGAAAAUGAUGAUAUGGUAAAACCUCAAUCCUUACAACCUAAACUAAAAGACUCAGGUAAGUUUAUUAUUUCUUGUAAUAUCAGUGGAUUCAAUAUUCUGCAUGCUCUAUGUGAUCUGGGGUUUAACAUAAAUGUCAUGCCACUGAAAACUGUCAAAGAAUUAAAAAUGGGUGAGAUCACACUGAAUAACAUGACUCUCACUCUAGUUGAAUCGUCUAUUACUCAAUCGAUUGUUACUUUACGCAACAUAUUAGUAUCUGUGGACGACUUAUUGUUUCCUAUAGAUGUUGUAGUGCAUGAUACAAAAGGAGAUUAAGGAGGAUCUGUUAUUCUUGGACGUCCAUUCUUGGCAACCGAGAAAGCAAAGAUUGAUGUGGACACUGGUCAACUUAUCUUGAAGUCAAAUAAAAGGAAUGUGGUUUUCAAGGUAUUUGACUGGGCAUCUUAUGUGGAUAAUUUGGAUACUUUAUACCAUCCGGAGGAAAAAGGUAGAAAAGUAGACAAAGGAACAAUGAGAAAGGAAGUGACAGGCGUGAGGGUAUCCCUUGCACCUGACGUACCUUAGACAUGGAUUGUCAAGCUAGUUACGUAAAAAAAGCGUCUGAUGGGAGGCAACCCAUCCGUAAGAAAUUAUUUUUAUGUCAUAGUGAAUUUUUAUUUUUCUAACCUUGUUAAUUUUUGUGUUAUGUUGUUCGAAGAGAAAAUAGGUAAAAGAAGAAAAGAAAGAAAAAGAAAAAGGGAAGAAAAUAGAAAAAGAAAAGAGAUAGGAAAGUUUCAGCCCCUGGAAUCAUCACGCAUGAUAAUAUAAACUAGUUAUUUACAAUAAAUUUUUUUGAUAUUUAUUUAAAGAAGCACAAUUAAUAUAAAGACAAUAACACACCAAUCACACAUAAUAAUUUUAGAAUAAUUAUACUCUAAGAUUUUGAGAGUCGUGAUAUCUCCUCUUCUUAAAUGUUUAAGAAUUGGAUCUCUCUCACUAAUCUCUAUCCCCUUAUUUAUUUUAAGAAUAAACAUAUUGAAUUAAUAAAACAUAAUUGCACAUUUCUUAUAGCGAUUAUACAAACAACUAUCAAAGUUGAAAAAACUAAAGAGAGGUCAACUCAAUCUUUAUCAAAUUAAAUUAAAGUUUAUUUUAAAACACAAACAACUAGUUCAUUAAAAAGAUAACUUGUUUAGUACACAAAUGAGAUCUUACUUAAUACAUAGAAAUAAGAUCUUACAAAACAUAGAUAUUAAAAACAUAGGAACAACAUGAAAAGUUUUCAAAAUGACAUAGACAUUGAUUAACAAAGACAUGAAUUAGUUUCGGGUAUUUUUUAACCAUCCAUCAAGGUAAACUUGUUUGGAGUCAGGGGUGAAUUUUUCUUUCUCGGCUCGGAUAUCUUUCAACCAUCCAUCAAGGUAAACCUGAUUGUUGUCUGAGGUGGAUUUUGUUGUCUCGGCUCGGAUAUCUUUCAACCAUCCAUCAAGGUAAACUUGGUUGGAGUCAGAGGGCAAUUUUAUUUUUUCAGCUCGAGUGUCUUUCAACCAACCAUCAAGAUAAACUUGUUUGGAAUCAGAGGUGGAUUUUGUUUUCUCUGCUCGGGUAUCUUUCAACCAUCCAUCAAGGUAUACUUGGUUGGAGUCAGGGGUGGAUUUUGUUCUCUCAUUUCGAGUAUCUUUCAACCAUCCAUCAAGGUAAACUUGGUUGGAGUCAGACAUGGUUUCUGUUUGCUUAGCUCGAGUAUUUUUUAACCAUCCAUCAAGGUAAACUUGGUUGGAGUCAGGGGUAGAUUUUUCUUUCUCAGCUCGGGUAUCUUUUAACCAUCCAUCAAGGUAAACUUGUUUGGAGUCAGAGGUGGGUUUUGUUUUCUCUGCUCGGGUAUCUUUCAACCAUCCAUCAAGGUAAACUUGAUUGGAGUUAGGCAUGGACUUUUCUUUCUCGGCUCUGGUAUCUUUCAACCAUCCAUCAAGGUAAACUUGGUUGGAUUCAGAGGUGGAUUUUGCUUUCUUUGCUCUGGUAUCUUUCAACCAUCCAUCAAGGUAAACUUGGUUGGAGUUAGGUAUUGACUUUUCUUUCUCAGCUCUGAUAUCUUUCAACCAUCCAUCAAGAUAAACUUGGUUGGUGUCACCUGUAGAUUUUGCUUUCUCAUCUCGAGUAUCUUUCAACCAUCCAUCAAGAUAAACUUGGUUGGAUUCAGAGGUGUCUUUUGCUUUCUUUGCUCUGGUAUCUUUCAACCAUCCAUCAAGAUAAACUUGAUCAGAGUCUUGGGAGGAUUUGGUUUUCUCUGCUCGUGUAUCUUUCAACCAUCCAUCAAGAUAAACUUGGUUAGAAUUAGCAAUUUGUUUUUGACUCUUCAAUGGAUUUUUGAGCCAACCAUCAAGGUAAGGUUGAUCAGCUUGUAUUUCUUCUACAUUCUCUUGCUGAAGUUUGAUAUAUCGGGCAAAGCUUCCUUGUCCAUUCUACGAUACAAUUGAAUAAAUGGAUAUUAGUGAGUUAUUUUUGGAUGGUAUAUAUGACUAUAAAAACAAAAUUAUGUGUUUUAUG